CCGCAGGCGGCGGCGCUGGCCGCGGCGCGGGCGGCCGCCGACGACGGCCGCAGGCAGGCCGGCGCCGACGAGUCGCUCCGCAAGGCCAUGUACCUCAGCUGCUGGGGCCCCAGCUGAGAGGAUAAGGCCGUUUUGUGAAUGUGACGGGGCGGCGGAUGGGUGGGACAGGCGGUCGGUGUAGGGGCCUCGGCCUUUGCGGAUGCUCAAUGGCCGGACCGGGCCUGCUGGGGCCUUUGAUGAACUCGCGAUCGCGAGAUGCGUUGAGGGGUUCGGUGAUUUGGGAUUAACAUCUGGGAAAUUUGUGGGAUCAUCAAAAGGGUUACUGUACUGUAAUCUUGUACAUAUGCUUCCUGUAGAUAUCGAAUGGAACUAGGGAAAAAGAAAAAAAAAAUCUUUCGGCUACUUUCUCUCUGGAACUUUCGAUCGAUUAGUCAGAGCAAACGCUGUCGAGUUUGAGCGAUUAGAGCUCUCUGCCAAAGUGCCAAGUGUCCAGCGUCGAGCAACCAUGUCAAAACGAAGGGCGGGAGCGGAGUUCGUGUCGCUCCGGCCCGGGCAUCACAAAUUCACAAGGAUUUUGUAUAUAACAACUUUUUAAGUUCGUCGAUCAAUCACGUAGCCGGCAUCCUGAUGGAUCGGCACAGCAACGCGUUGAGUUGAGCCCGGCGCCGGCCGAACAGACUGCUACGAGCCCAUGACCAGGCAGCACUUCGGCGAACGCCGAUCUCGGCUUCAAACUCUGAAGUUCAGGCGGGUUCCGUUCCUACCGCAGAUAAUUUCAGGCAAGCAAGCGGCUCGAUGGACCGAUGGCCGGGCAGGGGACGGGACGUACGCGAUUACCCACACCGCACGAGGACGUCGCAGAGGUGCGCCUCCCGCCGCCCGAACAGGUCGCAGCUGCCCCAACCGUUGGCCGCACGGGUUCAGAGUUCAUCGGAGAAGUCGGCCGCACGGGCACCAACCGUUUUGGCGCAGAUCCUAAGGUCCGGUAAGGCCUGGCAACGCAGCCGCGAAUCCCCUAGUCGAUCACUCGCCGUCCUCUCCUCGAUUCGUCACCACUCACCCCGCGCGCAUCAUUCCUUCGCGAGCCGCGCGGCACCGGAGCUCGACACGGCGACAGGAUCGCACCGGGGAGAGCGAGGCAGCGAGCGCGAGGGACAUGCCGCGACAAGCGACGGAUAUGAUUGACUCGCGUCGGACAACGAUGCGGAGCUGGAGCCUGACGCGGUUGGCUUUUGGCCUGCGCCGGCUUUUUCACGUGGUGUCACGUGACGCUGGGCCACCGCGGUCGCGUCCCGGGACGGGUGGCGCGACGCGACGCGACCGAGUGACGGAAACGAAGCAUGGGCGAGAGAGAGGGCAAACGACGCGACGGGACCCCCACGCCGUGGUCUCCAGGACGCGUGCUCGCGGCCGGUGCAUGCACCGCGCGUGCGCCGUCGCUCCAGCUCCUGCAAUACGUCCGGAGAGCCAAGAGUGGGAGCAAGAUUGCAAGUCUGCAAGAGCAAGUAAGCAACUCUCACUCAGCGGCUGGCAUCAUGCGUGCCGUCAUUGGCGGAGGCCGGUGGCCGUAGCGGCUCUCCUUAUCUCCUACGUUCCUGGGCUGGCAGUGGCAGGAGUCGACGAAACUUGCGUUGGCAACGACUCCAACCGCGGCGUACGUUGAUCCGGCACACCACGUGCCCUCAAUUUAGGCGUCGUGGAGAGGGUUCUAUAGCGUGCCUACCGCCUAGCUCUAGCCGAACCGUAUACGAAUCGUUCCACAAGCUUCCAAUGCUCCACGAAGCAUAUGAUAGGAAAAGAGGGUGCAAGACCUCAGGCCUGAUGUAGUGAUGUUGUGUGGGAUCGAACCUACCUGGAAGCCUGGAUAACCAUGAUUUUUAUACGGUAUCAAAGUUAACAUGAUUCUGAAACUCCCAAUCCAUCCAACUAACGAACGAGUGAGAGAUUUUUAGAAGUAAUCUCUUCUCGUUUAUAAAGCCCAACAGGCUAUAGCCCAUGUGCUAUUUCGAAACUCCUACGCACAGCCAAGAAACACCACGUACCCAGAGAAAUAGGCCCAUAAAAGAGGUGGCACCCGCAGCCCAUUAACCACCACGCAUCGCGCGCGGAUAUGAGAAGCCCAUGCCCAUAUUCACAACAGCAGAAGAACUGAAGAAGUGACGAACAUCCUCCCAAAGAAUACCGACACUCCAACAGCCUCGACAUCAUUAGACCAUUACCUCCAAUCGCAAUAUAGUACGUGGUAGCAGUAGAGUAAAAGAAUACUGUGCUCAGGUUUGCAUCUAACCACCGUGCGAUAAUCGCCUACAAUACCCACGCCAAUCAAACGCUGCGUACAAAGAAUAUCACGCACGCCGCCGGCCGCACCACCAACGCGAGCCGUGCAUCACACAUCCACACAGCUCAGACGUUGUCGGGCAGGUCGAAGUGCUGGACGCCGAGCACCUGCAGCGCGGCGUUCUGGACGAAGAGGACAACGCCGCACUUGGCGGCGCGGAAGCCGUCCCAGAGCGGGAACUGGACGGUCCCGGACACGGACUUCUUCGCGGAGGCGCCCUCCCGCACCGCCGCCACCUUCUCCAGGCGGCGCACCACGUGGUCGUUCAGCAGCGACUUGCCCUUGUUCUCGCCGCGCCCGCAGUCCGUCACCAGCCCGCUCUCGUACAGCGCCACCAGCACGCUCGCGCCGCCGGCGCCCUCCACGCGGCUGCGCAGGGUGCCCGUGAACGACGCCUGCAGCGUCGUCGGGUUCGGCCGCUGGAACGUCGCCUGCACGUUACGUAACGUACGCGGAUCAGAUCAGAUCAGGUCGAGGUUUCAACGGUGCAUCUACAGUGACAUUGACACCGCAUCUACAGAACCCAUAUGUAUCCGGUAGAUAUGAAAUACUGUUCAUUGCAGAUCCGGCAUAAGAACAGUGGCUGAUGAGACGUUCCACAGCAACAGGCAAUCAGAUAUCCUGGUUGUCGCUUCUUAAAUUUGCAGACCGCUUUGAACACUUUCUACAUGGCAACAGGAUCGGAUGUGCAAGGAAGUUGUAAUUACAGUACCUUCAUGGCGGGCGCCGGGUAUCGCGGCGCGUCGCGGACGCCCUGCGCGAGCGCGUCCUGCUCGGUGCCGACGCAGUGCGCACGGCCCUGCACGACGACCUGCGGCGUGAAGAGCGUGUCGAGGCGGAGCGCCUCCACGUAGGCCUUCUGGCGCACGGUCCAAGCGCUGGACGCGAAGGGGUCCUUCCACCCGCUGUGGUCCCAGUAGUCCACGUGGAACGCCAGCACCACCACGGCCGGCCCGCCGCCGCCGCCUUCCUGCUGAGCCGCGGAAUCCUGCGCCAGCCGCGCCGCCACGGCGUCGGCCUCGGGCGACGCCCCGCACCCCUGCGACGCGAACAGCUCCAACAACACCGGCCCCGGGGCUACCUGCUGCUGCUGCUGCUGGUCCUCCUGCUCGUCCGGCGCCGACGCCGUCGCGCCGCCCCUCCGGCCAAAGCACGCCAGCAGCCGCGGCGCCAUCGAUGGUUGUAGGCUAGCUAGUAUCUGCCUUAGCUAGCGAGCUGCCGGCGCCGGCGGUAGUGGUGCAGCUGGCGAGGGAACGUCGUGGCGAAGGGAAUGAGGGGAGAUCAAGUGACGAGCUCGCUCGCGUGGUGGCGUGUAGCGGGCAAGUAGUAGGUGUCCCGGACGGUAUGGUGUGUGGUGGCCUGGUGGGAUAGAUGAUUGGUGGGUGGAACUGAACGUGGCGGUGGCGACGGCAACAGGACACCAGCCUGUCAGCACGCAACCCCUCUUGGUGUUGGAACUUCGCCGGCUGGCCGCCAUGUGUGUGUUCGUGCCCGCCUAACCUCCCAGCUCCAGCCUCUUCUUUACUUUGUUUUCUCGCAUUCUACCUUUUCCGCCGCAGACUUUGCAUUUCUAAAUCUGGUUUCACCGGUUCAGUGCGAUCCGUGAACAGAUUAUUCUGUGGCCAUGUUCCUUUGGGGAAUGGAAGGAGGAAGAGGAGAACCCGCUUUUGCUUUCACGAUCGGCGCGAUGCUUUGCUUGGUCCGGUGUGUUUUGUGGGCGCGGCCGCGGCGGGCACCGUGUCGGCGAGUGGUUGGAUCCGCCGCCGGGGUGGCUGUAAUUUUUUAACAUACAAACAGCAAGACCACGUUUGAGCCGCUGCUGAAUGCUAAUCAAUCAUUGCCACUAGAUUACAGUAGUAGCCAGUCGUGCGUCUAUUACGUGUAUGCUGGUUGGGGUUAGCAGACGAGCCUACAAAGUACAGACAGUGCUGUGGGUGUCGCUGAGGCCUGCUGCUUAUUUUUAAGCACCCGUUACAUCGAUGUUUACAUACUAAUUAGAAGUAUUAAACGUAGACUAUUUACAAAACCCACUACAUAAGCGGAGGCUAAACGGCGAGACGAAUCUAUUAAGCCUAAUUAGUCCAUAAUUUGACAAUGUGUUGCUACAGUAAAUAUUGGCUAAUGAUGGAUUAAUUAGGCUUAAUAGAUUCGUCUCGUCGUUUAGCCUCCACUUAUGUAAUGGGUUUUGUAAAUAGUCUACGUUUAAUACUCCUAAUUAGUAUCUAAACAUUCGAUGCGACACGUGCUAAAAAUAAGCAAACGGAAACCAAACAGCCCCUUACACGUUCGCUGAUCCUGCGUGAUCGUCACGGUGCAGUUCGUGGAGUUUUGUGUCGAUCAGAUACCGACAACGGCUGGCUUCGACACUAUGAAACUUGCGGAGACAGCGAUCGGAUUUUAAUUGGCGUGCGCUGGCGAGUGUGGCCGUGCACCUGAUCGUACAUCGACGUCCGACCUGAUGAUUGUCACCGACUCGCCGUCGGCCGAACCUGUCGGCGGCGGGCCUGGCAAAAAUUAUCGAGACUUAUCUCUGUUUUCUUCUGUGGGUUGGCUGGCAGCCUGGCGCCCGUCCGCUCUGUUAAAUGGGCCGAUUAUUAAUACCUGGGCUGGCCUGCACUGGUAAGUUAAUGGGCAGCAGGCCUGUUUAAAACUCAGUCCAACAACGCCUUUGGUUCUCGGCCUUUCUCUUUCCAGAAGCAGGUUCAUGUUGGGUCGAGAGGAAGGAACAAGGCUCAAACGAGGCCGAUUUGGGACAGCCCACAAGACUCGAAAUGGGUGGUGGUGUUCCCGAGUCAAGGGACUGAUGUUUGCAUGCUCAACGAGGCUCAUCAAGCCCACCUAACAUUCUGCGUCAGUCGUUUUGAAUUAAAGAGAGAAAAAAUGGAGCCCUCUUCCAUCCUCCACGUCUUUGGUAGCCUUCAUGCCUCUAGUUCGGGGAACCAGGGUCCGACGUCCGCAUGUAUAUACGCCUUCCUAAUAAGUAACUUUUGGGUAGGUUAGUUUGCCCAUGGCAGGGUUAGUGUUGCAUUCGGGUAUUUGUCGUUGAUGGCAUCCUCUGUGAUGAAAAUCCCCUGUCGCUUAGCAUCAAGGUACGUCUUCCAGUUCCUGAUGGAGUUGGAACUGGGUUGGUGUGUAACAGUGUAAGGAUCCUCUUCUUUAUUCUUUCAUUGCUCGUCUAUCGGAUUUUGCCAUCGUGGCGACAUGCAUCUGUUUCUGAUCUUUGUGAUGAUUUUACAGGCGCCCAUACGGUGGAACCUUCGGUAGUUCAAGUAUUCAGCCACUUGGUUGUCGUGCCACCGUUGCCCUUUCAUCAAUUGAAGCUCCUUCGUCCGCUCGGGCCUCGGGAGCUUGCUUCCAGCCUCUCCCUCGGUGCUCUACUCUGCUGCCUGCGAAGGGGAAGUGCCAAGCAGAGGCGGAUGUGCUGACCGGACAAGCAUGAGUUCGUUGAGAGGUUCACUCUGCAAGUGACCGGUUGUAAAGGUAUUGUUUUCAUAUAUAUACCCCAUCACUUAUAAAAAGAUCAAAGUUUAGGGGAUCCAACCCAAUAUUUUUUAAAAAAUAAACAGACUGGACUAGAAAGUCGUUUGCCCCCAUCACUGAUCAAAGUUUCGAGCGCGUGCACCGUGCACGUUCGUCCACUCCGUCCAAGUGGGAGUCGCCGCCGACGGGUGACGCAUGCGUAUCUGCGGAGCGCGGAAACUUUGGCCCGGGCUCCACCGCGGUUUCCACCAGCUGUACGCCGUCGUGGGACGACCGACUCCCCCCGGCCACGGCGCCGGUCCGCCGGACCCGCUGUGGCGCUGUCACAGUCCGCGGCCCACACCGUGCCGCACUUCCGCACUUGCCUCCGCCCCCGUAAUCCGCACGGUCGGUGGGCGUCGCCGAGCCCACCCGCGGACCAGCCCGAAGCCCCGAAUCAAUUCCGUUCCAGGUGCUGGCUGAGUCACCGGGUGCUUGACUUCCACGGCUUCGGAGCACACGCGGCGGGGCCUCUGAAUUCGCAGCUUCAACGAAGACAGCGUCAUUAGUCCUCGCAUUGCCAAUGCCAACGUUUCCGUCUGAUCCAGUGUUGACGAAACCCAGCUCCGGGCACAUCCAAAAGCGGCGUAAACCUGUGCCUAUCCGAUGGAAGAUCGAGGAAAUUCGUGCGCAGCCGGCUUUGAAUUUUGUUGCGCUCAUUCUCGCUCAAGCCAGACAUGCAUCAUGUGCUGGCACGUCUGCAUGCAACCUAGCCAGCCUCCUACACUGUGGGGGUCGUUGCUGAUCCGUCCCAUGCGUGUACCACAUGCGUGCACCGCUGUGCUGCUGCUGUCCUAGGCCGUUGCAGGGGAGUCAGCUCCAGCGCGCGCCAACGCGCGCACCGUCCGUCCUGCAGCUCCAUUGGGGCUAGCUUGGAAGGCACACCAAAGGCCAGGUCACGAACCCGUGAUGUGUGUGGAUAUGGUAGCACGUAGCAGCGAUACGCUGACGGAACGGGCCCGUCGCCGCCCAACGAUGAGAGCGAUCGUGAACGCGAGCGAAACGCGCGGCCGGUGGCGCGUCCCCGAAUCGGAUCCUGUCACGUGUGGCAUGCGCGCGUACCCGGAAGGAAACUGGUGGCGGUAGCUGGUAGAUGCUGCCUGCUGGCCACGGCCGGGAUCGAUCACUUUACACGUCCGCCGGGAGAGAAAACAAAGGGUUAUCCACAAAUUUAUCCGGAUCACAUUUGCGUAAUCCGGCGCAGCAGCGCCGAGCCAACAACCACCUUUCGGGCUUGCCGAUGGAUCAGAUUAUUUUACGGGGGUGGACUGGUGCAGCGGAUUCGCAGGUUUUUCCUGGAAAAAGUUGUCGCGCACAUCGCGGCCGCGUGCGCGCAAUUAAUAAUCCGCGCUAAUCUAAUCCAGAACGGCCGGGGCGACGCACAUCGCUUUCCCGCUACGACGAGCCCGUGACGCUAGCACGUCGCGGUCGCUCGAAAUCGCCCGCUAGUCAUAUGAUCUCGCGGGCCUAGCUAGCUCUCGAGCUGGAUCUGGUCUGGUGGUGUUCUCUAUGGGGUCGUAAUUGCGUUGGGCUUCUUUCGAUCCGCUCUCGCCCGCUUUUCCGGAUCGAACACGUGGGAACUGAGGAAAAGCGCCUGGGCCCCGGAUGAGACCGAAUCAGGCGUGGAUAAGACGACAGAUUAGCAGUAGUAGCAGAGCAUGGAUGAGGGAUCGCCGAGUUGGUGGCUCCAUUUGCCUGCCUUUGUAUUUACUUCCGCCACGCUCUUCUUGUUCCUGAUUCUGUGAUGUAGCACUGCUUCUGUCGUGGAUAAGACGGAGACGCGCUCUUUUUCGACAAUGUUUUGUGGGUUAGGACGUGCUCGGUGUGUGUGGUUACAAAGAAAACGAUGGAUAAAGAUCCUGAAUGAGGUUGUCAGCAUGGUUAAUUGCCACAAUAAACACACGCUAGUGGCGCCACAUGAAUUUCCUUGAAAUUUUUACCGCAUUAUGUUCCUGUUCGUUGCGCACAAUAGCAUGCAGAAUGGGAAAACCAAGCCACGCCAUCCUUUGAGGCCACCAGCUUAUAUUUGUUAGCUCGUUGUUUAGGCGGGGUAGAAGAGUAUUCUCUAGCUUGGUAAUUGGUAUCUUUUUUCGUGGUUUGUGUUCACCCGCCGGAUUUGCAUGACAAGCCAAGCAGAGUAAUAUGCAUUUCUUAAACGGGAAACUGAAAUUUUUAGAGCGCGUUCAUUGCAGAUAACGUUCAGGCAAGAUUAAAGUGUAAGCGUUCAAGAUCUUAUUUGGAUCCAUCCAUCCAAAAUUUAGCUAGCUGAAUUUAUGGAUGUUUGGAUCCAUCAUCUUAAUAAUUAUUAAAGAGAUAUUUGUUUAUCCUGUACUGCAAUUCUGGUAACAAAGUAAAGGACCCGUCAAACUUGCCUGGCCUGCACGGCGGCCGGUCGACGGUGUCGAUUUGCUUGCGUCUAUUUCUUUUUGAUCGGUUGUAGAUGUGCUCUGUUAAUUGGAUGUUCCAGGGGUUUGGAUGGGAAUUUGGUUUGCUGGUUCGGAUUGAAAUAAAUAGUGUCUGGUGUAUGUAGAAGCGUCAGCGCGGCAUUCUCUUUCAGAACCAUCGCCGCUCUAGACCAGAGAGAGGGACGAGGAAGUCUCUGGACAAUGUUGCUAACUGACGGGCCUGUUCUGACCGUGCGAUUAAUUAAGGAUAGUGAAUGGACGACGCAGAUCAGUAGUCGACGUGGCACAAUGGGCGCUCGAGAAAGGCCCAAUUGCCUGACCGAGAUUCGUCUAUUAGAGAUCGUACGUCUUAGUCUACAAGCAUGGUUAACCUGCUCUUUUGGAUGAUCGAAAUGGCUCACCAACGUCGUCGACCUGGCGCAGGUUCUAGAAGACAGCUUGCGGAUCUGUCAACAACAGGCACAGCUAGUAGUUGAGGGCUUCAGGCAGUGGAUAACGCAUAAAGCACAGCGUAGUAGUCCGGGCGUACGCCUAGUCCUACCUGACGGAGCCGGUGGUUCGGCCGCGUGUCAGCGUGCCGUGGUAGCGCGGCAGAGCCGGCGCGGAGGCUGACGGCGUGAGGUGGCGUUCAUGAUGCUGACGGCGUCGUUAUCCCAUCCAUCCAAUUCUAAUAAGCAGGGUGCUUCAGAGAUUCAUCGAACACGACACCCCCAGGAUUAGCCCUGUUAAUUGGGUUGGGUUUAUUGGUUUUAAUGGUUUGGUUUAUAUAAUAAGUUCAUUUGAAUUGGUUUAUAAUGAGUUGGCCUGCUAGAUGGUUUGGUUUGGUUUGGGUUUUACAAAUAAAUAGUUUGGAAGGUGUUUGGGGUGUGUGGUAUUAUUUUUGGAUCUAAAAGACUCUCAACCCGUGGGUUGAGACCCAUUAAGAACCCAAAAGCCUGGAGCCUCAUCUAUCAAGAGUCGGACCCUAAAAAUAAAACCUCACGUUCACACCUUAAAAUUUUGGAUAAAUUGAUCGAAACUUGUUACAGAUGAAUUAGUUUAACAGUCCGCUACUGUAUGCAAAGCAGUACGGCUGGACUUACAUGUGGGGCCCGCGUCAAGAGUCGGACCCUAAAACUAAAACCUCGUGUUCACACCUUAAAAUUUUGGAUGAAUUGACCGAAACUUGUUGCAGAUGAAUUAGCUUGACAGUCCGCUACUUUGUGCAAAGUAGUAUGGCUAGACUUACAUGUGGGCCCCACGUUGAGAGUCACAUACAAACUCAAAAAAAAAAGUUAACUAAUGGGUUUUUAUUGGGUACCUAAUGGGUUCUUAUUGGGUUGUAACCAUAUUUGGCAAGUAAUUUGUAUAACUUAUGCAAUAGUAAGUUUGGGGUGGUGUGGUGUGUGAUAGUGGAGGUUUGGUUUAGGGUGGGUUAUAUUUAUUUUCUUAUGAGAAUAGAUUGGUGUGGUUACAACAUGGGUUACAACCCAAUUAACAGGGUGACCCAGGAUCCACGUGAUGCCACACAAAAAUGGAGAAAGAGAAAGGAAAGAGGAGAAGAAACAAGGGCUCGCGUUCGAUCAUUCAUGUUCUGAUGCUCGUUGGCCUUCCGCAGAUUCUUCGCCAGCUGAAGGCAAAUCGUAGGCAGCUCCGUGACUGAUUCUCGGAUACCGCGGUGCAUUUUCGUCGCCUCAUAAUCUACUUAAGCGCGAACGAUUUCUGAAGAAAUUUUCAUCGCCCAGCGAAAAGAUUUUUCCAGAGAGUACAAGGUGGGUACACGCCAAAAGCCAUUGCGCUGCUAAACGGGCACAUGAUCAGCCGACAAAGGCACACCAGCUUGUUGCCGCCAUAUGGCUGAUUUUGAAAUCGCCCGCAUGUUUAAACGAAUAGAUUUUGCAGCCCUGGAAUUCCAGAACUCUCAUUUUAAAAUCUCAUGCUCGCUGAUCUUGAUCACCGUGUGAAAUCAAUCAAAACACCGCAUUUUUUUAAAAAAAAAUCUUUUGGACAUGCAAACGUGCCAACUUUAAUUGCUGUGGAUCAGAAAGUCAGUACUCAGUACCCUGUAGUCAGCAAGAGUCCAUGCGCACGGAGAAAGGCAGAGUUUUAAUUUGCAACUUGCAUUCAUAUACUUCGAUUUGAUCCAAUCCAUACCCCACAAAGAAAAAAGAAGACAGGGGACGAAGACCAGUUGACUGUUCGUCAUCAUCCAGUCAUCCUACCUACUGCGAUGAUUAUAAUACGGUGAAUCUUAAACCAUUUUAAAUUUCCCGCUAAACCCGAAGAAUAAAGCCGUAUGAGUAAAUUAUUGCCCGGCCGACACCGUCAGCAGCGAGCGACGUCCCAGGCGUCACGGGCUACUGCAUGCCGGCGAGCUUGCCGUUGCCGUUGGCACCGCCGCGCAUCUCGAGGUCGGCGCCGACGUGCACGUCCUCGUCGCGGAUGAAGCGGCCCCAGUACCAGUGGUUCUUCCACACGAGCACCAUUUCCUCGAUGGGCACGUUCUUGGUCUCCGGCAGGAAGAGCGCGACGAAGAUGGUCAUGACCACCACCCAGGCGCCGAAGAAGAAGAAGAGGAUGAACUUGAAGCGGCAGAGCAUGGGGAGGAACGCCUGCGCGAUGAUGAAGGUGCAGAGCAUGUUGACGGACACGUUGAUGCUCUGCCCCGCCGACCGGAUCUCCAGCGGGAAGAUCUCGCUGGGCACCAGCCACCCGAGGGGUCCCCAUGACCAGGCGAACCCGGCCACGUAGGCGCAGAUGAAGAGCACCACGAUGGCGGCGUACGCCUUGGGGAUCUCCGCCACGCCGGAGAACCCGAACUUGGCGCCGAUCAGGCUACCGACGACGAUCUGGCAGGCGAGCAUCUGGGUCCCGCCCUGCAGGAACAGCUUGCGGCGGCCGAGGCGGUCCACGGUGACGAUGGAGACGAAGGUGGCGAAGACGUUGACGAGCCCCGUGAUGACGGCGGACAUGAGGGAGGCGUCGUCUGCGAAGCCCAGCGUCUUGAAGAGCACCGGUGCGUAGAACAUGAUGACGUUGAUGCCGGUGAGCUGCUGGAACAUGGGGAUGGCGAUGGCCAUGACGAGCUGCGGCCGGUAGCGCGGCUGCAGGAUAUUCCGCCACGGGUGCGCCACGAGCUUGGACUCCUCGCUGGCGGCGACAAGGUCGUUGUACUCCUCCUCCACGUCCUCCGUGCCGCGCACGCGCUUGAGCAUCCGCUUGGCGGCGUCGGUGUAGCCGCGGUCGAUGAGGGAGUUGGGGGUGUCGGGCAAGAACAGCGCGCCGAUGGCGAUGAUGGCCGCCGGCACCGCCGCCAGGGCCAGGCUCACGCGCCACCCCCAGCCGCCCUUGAUCUUGGCGGUGCCGUAGUUGAUGAGGUUGGCGCACAGGAUGCCGAUGGUGAUCAUGAGCUGGAACCCGAUGUUGAGCAUCCCACGGAGGCGCGCGGGGGCCAUCUCCGACAGGUACACCGGCACGGCCUGGUUGGCGAAGCCGACGCCGAUGCCGAGGAGGACGCGGCCGAGGAUGAGCAUGACGACGUCCUUGGCGGCGCCGUUGAGGGCCGCGCCGAUGAGGAACGUGACGCCGCCGCCGAACAUGGACCACUUGCGCCCGGCCACUCGCGUCACCGUGGCGGCGAAGAAGGAGGCCACCAACGCGGCGAGGUAGAGCGAGGAGGUGAACAUGGUCAGCAGCUGGCUGUCGAACUUGCAGUACUGGUUGGUCUGGUUCCGCUCCGCCUCCUGCUCCUUGCGGUACACCGACGGGAAGAACUUCAUCAGGAACGGGUUCAUCGACGUCACGCCACCUGAUCAUCACGAACAAACGUCAGUUUUUUUUUGCUUUGCCACUGAUUUUUUGCUUCUAAGACUAUUCUAAUUUUCUGAAGGAAUGAUCUGAGGUGAUGUUUUUUGUUUAUUUGGAAAAAAGAAGGCUAGGUGAUGCAUGGAAAGAUUCUUCUUGGCUUUGCGAAAGAAUCUGGGAAACCAAAUAAAGAAAAGGCGGGGGAAUAUCGCAGUUUUGUUUGUAUGUGUAAAAUCAUGCGUCGGGUCUCCCGACAGCACGGUAGGUGAACUGCGCCCGAGAAAAUACCCUGAUUUGCAAGAACAGAGCAGCGUGCGAGAUGCAAACAGAGAGUGUGUUUUCUCUCUCUUUCUAAUCAUAGCCAUGAUUUUUUUUUUGAAAAAGAUCAGGAACAGAAGAACAUCGCAGAGGGACGGGAUGCGUAGCUUACCAGAGAUGCCGAUGUCAUAUCCGAAGAUGAGGCCGCCGGUGGCGGCGACGAUGCAGGCGAAGAGCACGAACAUGGUGAGCUUGCCGGGGUAGUCCUUGCCCCCUCCGGUGUUCACCACCACGCCGCCGGCCAUGGCGACUGCCCAAUACUCAAACCACAAACACACAAAGCUUUCGCCUCACACGAUCACAGGCUAGCUCCACACAGAAGACUUCACGAAAGGCCUAUGCCAAGAGGAAAAGAAUGGAAGUGCUCGUGAGCGCCCGGAGAAGAUGGGAACGUCUGCGAGUUCAGAGGCGAACGGAGGCAGCGUUGAUUGUUGAGACGGGGGAGGAGCGGGCGGGCAUUUAUAGGCGGGGCGAGGGGCCUCCAUGUGAAUGGGCGACGAGCUGGAGGGUGAGACUGCCAGGGUGGGGCCAACGCUCCCUCCCGCCCGCGCUUGUUUUUCCGUUCAUUAAUUGUGGCCGUGGAUAAAUCUUUAUCCCAGCUACCGGCCCCACCACCCCCGCUUCUUCCUUCCUGGAAAGACCCAGCGGCCAUUAAUGUGAACACGGCGCCGGUGCAGGCGCGCCAGCUGCUUUCCGCUCCCGGCGACGGCGGGGAGGAGGGUCGCCGUUCGCCGCCGUCCACCGCGAGAACGCGUGCGUGUACACGCUCGAGAUGGGCUGGCGGUGUUAUCCGUUCCGUUCCCGUUUUCGCUGCGAAAUGUAAACGUGCAGUGGAUAACGGCAUUAUUAGGUUCGAGGGUAGAAGAACAGUUAGCGGGGGGAUCUCCUGCUGUGCUGUGUCUGGAUUUCUGGAGUCACACCUGCUGAUGACUCGGCGACAGGUCAUGCAGGCUCCAUGCGUAGCGUAGCAGCGUUAAUGGCGAAUCCGAUUCUUGCUGAUCAAGUUCCUCGAUUGUGGUUUAAUUUGGCAGGGUGGGUAGGUGCAUGCCGUUGCCUUCCUCAUGGGAGGUGAGGUACGCUUGCUGACGUGGAACCGGCUGUGCAAGUGUUGAGCACAUGUGGAUGGGUCAACGGCUCAACGCUGGUCCAAAUUAAAACAGAUGAAACUGAUUAACCAGGCUGCGGCAUGGCAAAUUUGCGCAAAGAAAGAACCGAAUAAAAGGGUUCAGUUUUCUCUUAGGUUAUGGGUCUUGAUCUAAACGAUGAUGUAGAUUCUUAGGUUAACCAUCAUAACUCGACGAAAUCAGAUAAUGGAAUGCGGCGUUUUAUGAUCAAGCCGUGACAUGCUAUGCUGACCCACAAGAUCCAAAGUGCGCAACUUGGCUGCAUUCACCGAACACAUGCUCGCUCGGCGGCCACGGAAGUUGGGACUUGGACGGAAUGAUGGAGGCAUUGUUUAACACAAGCGCGAGCACGUCGCAGUCAUCGUGGGCGAACAGUGCCCCGGGACUGGCUCGGCCGGUCGGCUGCGUACCCGUCGGACAGCUAAUCUGCUAGCUCGGACGACCAUGGCCUCAUCUACUAUCUCCUUGGUCCGGCGCCGACCGGUGCGCCAGCACGUAUAUACUAGUACAGAAAAGCCAUCGAGCCAGACACGGCGAACCGCCGCCAACGGCGUUUUCUCCGAUCCGGGCACAUGUUAGGAACGAUCUGCCUGAGAUAUUUCUCCUUUUCGUACUGGCUCCCGCCGCCGUGGUGGUGUGCGUGCGUGGCGUCGUCACGCCACCACAUUACUGCGUUCUCGUCGCUGGAGUCGGCGGCUUCCGGCGGAGUCAAAGGAGGGUGCGGCAGAGGCGCGCGGGCGCUCGGGGCUAGCUGGCCGGACCGCGCCGGGAGCCGGUGCGGGCAAAGCUAGGCCGCAGGUGUGGGAUCGCUGGGAUACGCUAGCUUGCAGCCAUGUCGACGUCGCCGCAUCGCGGACGCGACAAGGACGCCUCCCAUUUGUACCGGUCCCGUCCGGCCUGUAGCCCGGUAGCAUGCGUGAGUAAUGCCAAGCGCCGGUCACGAUCCUAGGCUCACUAAUGGCUUGCUGGGUAAUGGCAAGCUAACUGCUAUAAUUUGGUCAAAGGGAUGCCGAUCUCGACGGUCGGAGCAAGCUAGCCUGGUCCACGGAACUACGGCGCCCAUGUCGGUCUCUGUGGGAACUAGGAAGGGCAUGCCAGUAGGAGUGCAGGAGGCAACCGCAAGUACACAAGGCUAAGAAGAAGCUAAGCACAUGGGACGGGACGGGGAAGGCGGAAGGCAGGCCUGCGAUCCGAGUCAACGAUCGACUGGGAUACGCGAAGAAGACGGGCCAGCCAUGCCAUGGUUCCGAGCAAGAGGGGGGAGGGAGAGGCCGAUGCGCGUGCGUCACCGCGACGACGAGAGCGAAGCCAGCGGACGGGUCCGGCGACCGGCGCUGAGGUCAAGCCCACCCCAAGACGUGUGCCUGUCAGUGUGGACGCAGCAGCUCCCGCAUGUGCCGCUCGUUCUCGCGCCUCGCCAGUCAAUGCCAACCAGCCGGGUCAACCACUGCUGCUGCCAGUCGACUGCGAGUCCUUGCUGGGCUUUCACUGUUGCCGGGAUAAGACCCCGCUGAGAUUUGACUUGAUUGAUACUCCUACGAUGCUGCUGCCCAACCCAAGUCGGCUGGCAAGAGCCCAAAAAAUGUGCGGAUUGGGAUCGUACUGUGGUCCGUGGUGACCUUUUGUGGAAAGUGGGACCCUACAAGCAGCCUCGUUUGAAAAAGUCUCGUAGGAGGAAGAGUCCUAGACUGCGGUCCACCAAUCAACAUCCAGCAAAACCCAAGAAUAUUCAGACUAGCAGACAAAAGAAAGAGCUGCUGCAACUUUGCAUGGCGUGGUGCGUUGCAUACUUGCACACCACCGUUUGUCAACAGUACAGUUUUUCGACUUUUCGUUCGGCAUGGGCCUACGGUGUGUAAUCUACACGUUGUCAUGUUUGAAUACUGUUACGAUGCACUCAUCGAAAUCCGAAAACAAACUACUACUGCUUUUGUACUAAAAUAUGUAAUCUGCUUCUUCCAACUGCCCAAAGUCCAAAACAAUAUGCUAAAUGACUAAAGCACGUCCUAAGAAACUGAGCUGCGCGAGUGCAAGUAGCAGCAGCAGCAGAUGAACAAUGUGCCGCUACCAGUAAAGCCCGAGUUCUAAAACCCUGAGCCAUACGUGGAAAGCUCAGCGGCGGCGGUUCUCGCGCCAUUUCUUCGUUCAAGGCGUGCAGGAAAGCAUGCUGCUCCGUCCAUCAAGUGCCAAAGGUUAGUGAAAAAGCGUGCGUUCAGGUUUAAUUUGAGACUUCAACUGUCGUUUUGUUCUGUUCCUAGUUCUUACCGCCAAGAAGACCACACGCGCUAUGACCUGACCUGUGAGAUGUUUACAGUUGACGCCGUAUCCGUAUCCGUAGUCAAUUACAGUGACACGCAAGACCACCAGAGCUACCUACAUGAGGACGAUGUAAUUUUCUUCCUUGAGCGCAGGAUAUUUUCAAGGUCAAUGCUGCUGGGUAGUAACGUAGCCCACGAGGCCGCCCCGCUUAAUUGCCGCUCGUGGCCGUUGCGGCCGAGCUGCAAUAACCACGCGGAUUAAACAAUCUUCGCCUGCUAAGCCCACAAAACAAUAUUGCAUACCCGCGAAAACCCGCAAGGACCCACUUCAUGACAACGCCCAUCUCCUUUCUUUUGCUCGCCACGGUGCUGCCCGGCGCCGCCGGACGAUGGUCACCGGAGGGUGAGCAUAACGAGGAAGCCGAGGAACGUCGCCGCGCCGACGCCGGAUCAGCUGAAGACGAUAAGCUGUGCCAUGCACUCGCGCGACCGCCGGAGUUUAUCGUAGCUCCUCGGGACUACGCCGGAGCAGCAGAGCACGAUGACGCCGCCGCCUUCGCCGCCCUCUGCUUGCAGGCUCACCUCUCGCACGUGGCCACGCCGAUCGUCGCACGUGAUGGUGGUCUAGACGGCCACGACGCCAGCGCCGGCGCCGGCGCCGGUGCCGAGCACGAGAGCGUCGACGCGGAACGGGGCGCCCAGGAACCUGCCAGACGAUGCGCAACAUGAUGCAGGCUCCACCUCUCGUCGCCAUCGACCCUGCCAGCAACGCCUCCGAUGGCACCAACGUCCACCUCAAAGAGAGCCAGCAGGCCUUGUGACUAGCGCUGAUGAUUCUUUCGGACGCUCGCGGGGUUUGCGGACACAGCCACCAGGCCCACUAACCAAGCACACUAAUUCCCAUGCGGGUUAGCGGCUUCUCGUGAUUGAUUGAAAAUGCUUUGCGGGCUAACGCAUGUGGGUUGUGGCUGUCCACAACCCGCCCCGCCUGCAUCCCUACUGCUGGGCACUCGAUCACGGUCUCACCGGUUGGUCUCACGGGCUACCUCAACCAGUUAAGUCUGUCAAUUUUCACUGUCACAUUCAACCAGCUGGUAAAGCAGGUUUAUCCAGCAGGAAUAUUCAUCGUCAGUGAGCAUAAGAUAUGUGAAUGCACGGCAUGCGGCGUGCAUAUCUCUUUCACUCACGUCGCUGCACGCAAAGGCCUAGACGCGCGUGUGGCUGGUCGAGCCGCCGGGCAAUAUUCUACAAGUCAAGCAGAUUCCUUUUUCAUCACAUCAACGAGUGGCCCCGCCAGUAAUCGUACCUACCAGCAGCCACUAUUCUACUUACAAGUUAACCGAUGGAAUCGAUUGACAUGUGCAACACGGGUGUGCACAAUUAAGAUGGCCAGAUGGGCCUUAAUUACUACUACUAGUAGCAGUAGAUUAACACCAAACUACAGUGUAUAUUAUUCGAUCCUCGUCGUACUUAAUAUUUGCUUCACGUACCCUGCAAAUAGCAAAAUGUUUUCCUUUUCCCUUCAUUUCAUCCCAAUCUUAAGCAAGUGCAUUUCGUCGACCGAUAGUAGACACGUGCGACCUGUCUGUUUUUUUCCCCCCUGAAGUCCCUGAUCGGCUGAUCUCAUUAUCAAAUCACUGAAAUCAGAGAGGGGGGUCGCAUUCUCUUUUGCGGAUGGAGCACAAACUGGCGGGCUGUAUUCUUUGGUCAUUUACUCGUUCAGUUUCCAAACGCUAAUGCCGUCCGAGUCACGUGCAAUCAUGUGCGGAUUCUGGUCUACAUUCUUCCGAGAAUGACACCCAGUUUGCCCACACGCAGUCACGUGCAAAUAAAAAGGGCCGGAAUGGAUUCUAGGAAUUUGAGGCCACGAGCUUGGUGCCUGUAGUGAGUGGCUCACUGGCUCGUCAGCUAUCACCGUUUUCCACGGGUGCCCGCCCUCUCGCCUGUGAUUUGAUUUUGGAAUCCCAAGUGAUGGGCACUAGCGAUUUGUGGAUCGUGCCCGUCGCCCGUGCGCUGAGAUUGUGUGGGGGUAUGCAGGAAACGUGGCAAGCAGAGGCACCGAGAUGACUCGGAGCGAGGCGGACGUCCGCUUCAGUUUUGAUCAUACAGAGUUGCAGACCGGGCGAAAGUUGGAGUAGCGACGCAUUCUGUGAGGGUUCUGCUCGUGAGUCGUGAUACGGUAGCAGAGGUGCUGGCAAACUAGAUAAGAUAGUGUACAAAGAAAGGAAGGGGAGAGCAAAGUGAACUCAGAUCUCAAAUUGCAAAGCUGAAUGUUCAGAUCAGAGAUGUGAAGCGCAGCAGCUUGAGAAUUUCCGGUAAUGUAGCUGAAGAAAAAUACUGAGCUUAAGCUGUUUGAAAUGAUAGUUUAUGGCCCAUCGAUGUGCUGGGCCUGAGCGCCUUCACGCGCGCGCGAGAGGACCAAUCCCUUCAUGGGCUUUUGUCGGUCUAGAUCAGCCCAAAUCUUUCACGCUCAUGAUGGACUGGAUCACCACCUACAACACCGGAGGAAGAUGAAGCCCAAAAAUUCGUCACAUACAGGUGUACCCUGAACCGGACGGCCCGGGCGCGGCACGGCGGCAUCACAGGACCGUUGCGCGGCGGCCAGCUGCGGCAAAACAAAAAAAAGAGAUGCGUCUGCCGGGAGUCGAACCCGGGUCUAUUGCUUGGAAGGCAAUUAUCCUAACCGUUGGACUACAAACGCCUUGUUGAGGUAAAGGUUAAGAUUAAAAAUAAUAGAGAACAGACACAUGAGAGCAUGUAUAUUAGGCACCUUCUUUCCCUUUUCCUUUGAUAUGUUUUCAUUUCUGUACCUUUUUCCCCGACUCCCAGUGUUAAUUGAGAACCUCUAGAACACAAAGUCCCUGGACCCUAUGCUGUUAGUCAGCAAAGCUUUUAGGUCUCUGUUGACAGGGCUCAGCUUUUCUAUAGGUGGUCAACUUCAACAAGAAAAAGUCGGAAAGAAAGCAGCGUCAGAGUAACAUAAUCUCUGGAUGAUGUAGUAGCCAACCUAACCCAACAAUCAUCUCACGGUCUUCCAGAAAUCCGGAACUACUUUUAAGCGUUGACGUUCCAGAACAAAAAGCUCUUGAUUGCUGCAGAACGGCGCCUCCCCUCCCUCAACUGCCUCGGACUUGGAGACAGACACCUUGCACAUCACAGGGGCCAAUGCCACUACGAAGCUGAUGGUGCGACCAAUUGUAAGGUUGGCCGGUGUUGGAAACUGGAGAUCAAAAUAAAACAGAGGGAAUUGCUUGUUGGGCAGACGUUUUCAUGUGCUCACUGCUCAGUGAAUGGCUGCUGGAAAAGGCAGCUCGCCUGACUCUGACUCAGUGAUGACCGGGGAACAAACUACCGAACCUGCCCGUCGAAAAGAAACCAUUCCUGUCUGAAUAAACGACCCGUGUCUGGAGAUGCGCUGUCCAACGUCUCUGACUGAAGCUUCUCACGACAGGUACGUGUAGCCGGAACUGCCAUCUCGGCUCAUACCUCUGAAGUCAUGCUGAGUUGCUAGCUGCUCAAACAUCUUGUCUGAAACUUGAAGCAAGCGAAUGCUCCUCCUCAUCGAACAAGGACUGACCUGACUGUUCGGCUCAGAGGGGGACAGGAAACUAGAAAAGCAGCCAUCAAGCUGAUGCCAAUGUUGCGUGUCUCCUUCAGCCAGUUAUUGGUCAUUUCAGGCUCUCGACAGCGAGGCUUGAGCAACGGAAGCACGGACGGUCGAUCGGGGGCUCGGGGCAGGUCUACGCGCCAAUGCCUCGGCAUUGUGACGCUGGAAAUUUCACUGGUCCAGGUCUCAGAUUCAGCCACACGGUACUGAAUCCAAACUACUGGUGUAGCACAUAAAGUCGUGUAUUGUUCAUGUUCAAUGACCGUGCUUCUGCAUCGACAUUGCAGAUUUACAGUAUCUUCCACGACCAGUCAGAGAGUUUUAUUGCCCUGCUUUGACUCGAUAGUACAAUCUUCAGAAACACCUGCAGAUGCUGCAGCACGCGAGAUAAACGCACAGUUACAUUUACAUCCUGCAAAAGGUCUGCAGACACAGCAGCAAUGGAUCGAGUGCGUCAGAGAAGACGACCAGUCGCCAAUAGAUCCGCAGCUCUGCGUGCAAUAAGUGUGUCCACAUGGAUGGAUCGAGGUAAAGAAGACGGCGACUUAUUGCGAUCGCGAGAGCUAGCUUGAGCCCAUGAUCGCAGCUCGUCGGCAGGCAGGCACGCAGUACCCGCACUGUACCGCGAGAGAUCAUAACGCGAAGGCGACCCUACCGCGCGAUCGCGAAAGCUCAGAUCGAUUUGCCAUUUUGCUGCUGAAUGAUUGGUUUCCAUCACUCAUUUGGGCCAUGGUCCACGCCGCCCACCUUUCUGUCAAAGAUGAAUGUGCCCAGCGGCAAGAAGGAAAACAUCCGAUGCACAGGUAAAAGUGUGCGAUUUUCUGAUGCUGAUGCAGUCACUGGGUGGAUGGAUUAGUUGUUGAAUGGACUCGCACUUUUAUUUGACAGUGAUGAGUGAUAUACACAUGGGGUGACAAAUCACUGGGUGAUUCAUUCUUUGAUUCCUUCACAGCAACAAAAGAUGCAAGGAACAUGUGUGUUAGCUAGAGGUACAGUACUAGUAAGUGACAGCUAGUUCUUGUCGCCAAGGAUUACAGGCUCCAGAUGCCAUGGAAAAUACUCCUCAGCUUGCUCCCGCCAAGCUUCUUCACGAUCCGUUUGGCGUCCGGGACAUUAGUCUCCGCGAGCUUCUCGAGAUUCCUGCCAUGGAAACAUAACAAACAGAUCGUGAGAAUUUCUAGUGAGAUGAGAUGUGAUGAACAAAAACACAUAACGAUUAGUCAGUGAUUGACAGGUGGUGUCUGUACCUGACGUGCUCCGAGGACAUGAUCUUCCUCCGGCCGGAGCUGCUGUCCGUGAGGUGCAUCAGCGUCGACAGCAGCAACCGCUUCGCCGGCGUGGGCUUCUCCUCUUCGGGGCCCAGUAGCUGCAGCACCUGCGCCACGUUGCGGUCAUCCUGGACGAACCGCUUCCGGUUGCGGUGCACGGACACCAUGGCGCAGAGCGUGUCCGCCGCCAUCUCCCGCGCCUCCGGGGACUUGGCCGCGCGGAGGACGCUCACCAUCUCCGGCAUGAACCCAGCGUCCCCCAUCGCCUUCCUGAUCUCCUCGGACACCUGGCACAGGCGGUGCGCCGCCUUGAGGGCGCAAUGCUGCAGCGUGGUGUCGCCGUUGCGUAGCAGGGAGAGGACGCGGUCCAGGAACCCGGCGGCGAGGAGCCGGUCCGUGGAGGUCGGCGGCGAGAGACAGAUCGCGUCGAUGGCGCGGAGGGCGACCUCGCGCGCCUUCGAGGAGCGCGUCGGGGAGGACGGGUCGAGCGCGCGGACGAGGGACUCGACGGCGCCUUCCUGAAUGACGGCCUCCCUGGCGGAGCUGUCCCCGGAGGCGAUGGCGGCGAGGAGCUCCAUCGCCUGGAUCCGCGCCGCGUCGUCCGUGGCGGCGCCCUGCGAGAGCGACACGAGCGCCGGCACGGCGCCGGCGUCGGCCACCAUGUACUUCCUGAUCUCGUCCACGCCUGCGAGGCUCCGCAGCACCCGGCACGCCGCGCACACGAGCUCGCCGCCGCGCGCGCCGUGGUCCGUGCACACGUUGAGCAGCGCCGUGACGCCACCGUGCGCGGCGACGGCCCAGGCAUUAUCCGAGUUCUCGGUGAGCCUGCAGAGCACCCGCGCCGCGCGCUCCUUGGCCGCCGCGGUGCUGCCGGCGCCCGCGUCGAGGACCCGGACCACGGGGGCGAUGACGCCGCCGACGACCAGGUCGCCCCUGUGCGCGUCGGACCCGGCGAUCACCGAGACCGCCUCCAGGGCCUCCUCCUGGACGCGCGGGUCGGGGCACUCGAGCAGCGAGACAAGGACCCCGACGCCGUCCGGGACGUCGGAGGCCACGACGCGGACGCACUUCUCGUCGUCGCGCAGAGCCUCGCCGAGCGCGGCGGCGGCCUCCCUCCGCAUCUCGGCGCCGCCGGCCCGGAGCCUGGCGAAGAGGUCCCGCACGUAGAACCGCACGUCAUCGCGGGUGGCGCCGGCGCCGGGGCGUGGCACCACCAGCGCCCGCGCCCGCGUGAGCGCGCCCGACGCGUACACCUCGUCCAGCCGCGCCACGUGCGCGUCGAGCGCCGCCGCCAGGACGUCGAGGUCGCUGCGCAGCCGCAGCUUGCCGCCGCCGUAGUGCCGCCCCUGGCUGCGCGGCACCAGCUCCAGCGCCUCCCGGGCGGUCGCCGCGACGUCCCGCAGGAGGCUCGCGAACGCGUCGCACCUGUCCUCGCCGUUGUCGUCGUCGGCGCCGGUGACGGUGAUGUCGGCGAGGCCGGCGUGGAGGCGGUUGAGCCGGUCCCUGAUGAGCUGCCACUUGAGCGGGAACAGCGUGGCCGACAAGGAAGCGGAGACCAAGGAACUGAUGGCGUCCAGCGCCUCCGCAAGCAUCCCCUGCUCAUCCAGCUCCUCGUUCUGGCUCAACUCCGCCGCCGGCGCGGCCGCUUCUUCCUCCCCUGCUUCUCCCAUCCUCCUGUCCUGUCCAAGCUCACUGCCUCAGCAGCAUCGGUCAGCUCCUUCUCCGAAGAAGGCUCACAUGCACCUCUUCGAUUCUCGCCGAGCUUGCAUCGUGGUGGUGGUCGAGCGAGGACGAGAGGAGAGGUGGAAGGAAGCAGCGGUGCGUGGAGUGUGAUAACUGUAACUGCACGGUGGCGCUGAACUGGAAGAGACGGGCAGCUUUGGCGUCUUCCAGGUAGUUAAUGGAGGUGGAGGUGGAGGCGGGUGGGCCCGGCAGUGGGCGGUGGACCUACCGGCCGGGGCGCAGGCGCAGCACGAGCGCGCGACUGUUGAUGCAUGCGCUGGGCUUCUCGGGGAAACACGACGACGAGGCCCCGCCUGCCCUGGGGAUCGGCGAGCUUUGGUGCGGAGCGGCAAGCGCACGACGAGGGGAAUGGAAUAGCGGCACAAGUGACCAAGCCUGCCAGCGUCCACUGGCUACGGGUUUAGGAUCGCGUGACACGCUCAAAUGCUAGGCGCACAUAGAGGAGAAAUAUGGAACCCUCUCCAGCUCAAGUGUCAACCAUUUGAACAACACAAAUAUACAGUAUCUUGUUCUGUGCGGUGAAAGACGAAACUAUGCAAGCCGACACGACAACCUCCUCAUCAGUCUUGUAUUGUAUCUCUCACAAAUAUGGCUAUUUAUUUGGCCAUAGGCGGUGUACUGCUCAUUGAUAGCAAGGUACGUGACCUUGUCACCCUGAACGUCUAUGUGUGUGUGUGAAUCAGUGGUUGUGCCAAUAUAUUUAUUUCUUUUUCAUAAAAAAUAUGGACGCUGAUACUGCAUCUGAGUGCCACAUCAAGAGCUUUCAGGAUGGAUGUCAAUGCUCAUUCAUAUAGCUUGAUGUAUCCACUAUUCCACUAGAAUGGAACUCAUCUGUUACUAUUUGCACUAACAAACACCAUGACUCAAAUUCGGUCAAAUAAAUCAUUUAUUUUUAUAUGUAGUAAAACUUCUCACUGAUGGUUUGGAUGAUAUACUCCUUUUUGGUUCGAACAACUCAUUGUCCUAGAUAUAACAUAGAGAAUAAAAUAAUGAUACACUAGAAUUGAACUCAUUUCUUACUCUUUGCACUGACAAACACCACGACUCAAAUUCGGUUAAAUAAACCAUUCAUUUUUAUGUAGUAAAAUUUUUACUGAUGGUUUCAAUUUUUUAUGUAGUAUGCGAAUAUGGAUGGAUCAUGGAUGCCUAGCAUUAUCUACAUAGCACGCUCAAUACUCAUGCAUUCUCUAGGCUACAAAAUAUAUUAUUUUUAAUUAUUUUGAAACUAUUUGAAAAUAGUCAUUAUAAUUGAACCUAUUUAGAUUUGUAUCUAUGACUAUUGAUAUUAAUAUGGUUAAUGGUAUUAAUUUUAAUCAUAUGACUAAUGAUAUACAAUUUAACUUCAAAUUGCGCACAUUCAAUAAUUAAAAAUUGAAUCUAUUUAAAAUUUGCAAUAAUUAUCUUGAAACUAUUUUAGAAUGGUAUCUAUGAAUAAUAAAAAUAUUAAAUUGUAUAAACUAUUUAUUUCUAAUUUCAAUUAAUGUUGGCAAUGCUAUAUAUCCCAUGUUGUAUUUUUAUGACUUGUAAUAUGAUUGGUGUAAAUAAAUGUGUAGUUGUGAAAAUAGAAAAAAUAUGAAAUAUUAAUGGUAUAUUUUUAUUCAUCUAACUCAGUGUUUGGUUAACAUAUUAGCCCGGUUUUCAAUCAAAAUAUUAUUUUUUUAAUAAUUUAUUUAUAAUGGUUCUAAGAAAGUAUUAACUCAAUAUACAUGUUCAAACCAUUAUUAGUUUUUAUGUGUUUUUGUUCUUAAAUAUAAGUAUCCUUUGGUUUUUGAAAUGAAAAGAGAAUUUAUAAUUUGAGGUGCAGAUAGUCCAAUUUCUAUCUGUAUUAAAGAUUCAAGAGUAUCCUAAUUCAUUUUAAAAUAUGGAUACAAAAGUGGAAAGAGCAAUAUAUAACGGUAUCCUAUCUAAUUUCCAUCCCCGAAAAUCUCAACGUGGUGACCACUUUCCACGAACGAAACUCGCCACAGCUCGGACGCAUGAUUCAUCACGAGAUGCAACAUCGAGUUCUUAGCAUCGACCGAUGGCAUCAUGGCAAAGCGAACAAAGUCUGUCAAGUCAGUCCAGGCAUCUAGCAGCGCAGCCUGCAGCCGAGAAUCACGAAGCACUGCCGCACUGGCACUGAAGCAUCCACUCAACGCCGAAGAACGCGCGCGACUGGACAAGAGCGCAUGCACGGGAGCAAUUCCUGUGCGCCUGCCUCAUCGUGCCAUGCAUGCAAUCCUGCCAUGAAAACUACUACUCUAGAACUGCCAAUCUUCUCGUCGCCUAGGAAAGGGUCCAUUUCUAUCCACUUGCGCUUCGCUUCUACGCCGCUCAUGUGAGCCCUUCCUUAAUUUGGCUGCACCUGCACCUGCACCUCACGAGAGAGCCUCGCUUUAGCUGGUGUGGAUGUGAAGGAACAAAGGGCGAAAGGAGCACAGGAAAAGAUGCAUAAAAAGCUCUGCAUGGCAAGGAUCACACAAGGGUCUUGUUGCCCUCAUGGCAAGAAAAGGGCGCCCGCUUUCCUCUUUCUGGAGAUCCGCAGAAUACUUGGCGGUUGGUCAUGUGAGAGCGAGAGGCAAACGGCAUCGGCUACCUGCUCUGCUCAGCUACCGGUCUGUUACUGCAGUGUGAUCCGUGAUGCUGCAUUGCCGUGGUAAAGAACAGUGCAGGAUGGAAACAUGUGAUUCGUGAACAUUCCAUCAGGCAAACAGAGAUGAGAACAAUUUAGCAUGAUUUUGCCGUGUAUGGCUGCAUGCUGCAUCGGUACGUCCGUCGGAUUAUUGUCUCUGGAUGGAUUGUGACUUUGUGAGAGCCCAUGCCUGCAUGGGAGCUGGGGGCUCAGCACAUGUGGCUGGAACUGUGGAUGGAUAGCUGCGAGACUCUACCAAUAUCACUGAUAUGAAAUCAAUCAAUAAUGUUUCGGAAAAUGCAGCUGCAGUGGUCACGUAUGCAUGGCUGGAAUCGUCUACUGUUUGGAAUCAGUACCUAGCAGGAUAACAGACCAUCUCCUCCUUAGAAAAAAAAUGAAGGCAAAGUCUGUACAGAACUUUCACACAGAUUGUGGCUACCUGAUUGUAUGAGCCACCACUCAUCUCCUGUAGUUAGUUCUUCAGAAACCUUGGACCCAUCUCCUCAUAAUGCCAUUGUUCUCUGGACAAACUCAAUAAAUUGGUAAUACGAGAUCCUGGAAAAGGGACAGAUCUCUGAUCUGGACCCAUGAUUGCCCUUCAAGAUCAUCAUGGGUAGUGGCUCGCAAAGCGCUCCCAAAGUUUUGGUCCCAUGGAAAGUGGUUGUGGGUGACAAAGUACAUGUGCUAUAGCCCAUAGGAUGAUAUGGUAGUAAAAGCUUCGGUUUCCCCAUGGAGAGGAAAAGCCACCCCCACUUUCUUGAGAAGAAAAAAGUUUGUAAGCCAACAGCUAUCUUUUGCUGCAAUGUUUAUGCAUUGACUCAAAUCAUCGCAGCAGAUUUGGCCGCUGAUUGUCAAACCUAGCGCAUGCUGAUUCUCUAGGUGCUUUGAGUGGCUCAAGGAUUUUGUCAUGUCUCUGCAAGAAAUGUUUUUUAAUAAAAAAAGGAGAAAGAAAUGUUUCUGGAUGCAGUGAGUGCAGUUAAUACUGAAACAGACAUGAUUAUAAAGUACAAAAUCAAACUUGACAGUUAGUGGCAUAUGAUCCAAUCUAGUUCAUCAUUAGACUAGGUGAUCUCAAGAGUAGGUAAUUUAGACGGAAAGGCAUGUAAUCCAAAGUAGAACGAAGAUGUACCCAAUCUGAACCUUGCUUUUGCUUUGCUAUCCAAGAUCAUGCGGUGGAGUAGUUGCUUUUCGAGCUUUCAAGAGACAAGCCAGUGCUACAGAACAGUUGCUUGGGACAGUACUGUACUGGUGAAGUUUUAUCAAAAAAUAUUAUUGGAGAGCGUUCGCUACCUAAAAUUAGCCAACUGAAAGCAAAACACCACCAACCAUCAGUUUGACAUGCAUGCAUCCUUUAAUUAGUUGUCUUAAAUUGUCAUGCAGUUUGUGAUACAAUGAACCAUGUCUGAUAUUCUUCAAUGACAAACUAUUUUUUUUCACUAAUUUACUGCUAAAUUUUAGUAGUUUCUUGCAGCAGUGUUUGUUUACUACUGUUGACGCAGCCUGCCGGAUCAUGAAGCAGGAUUGUAGAACAGUCCAAGAUCCAGGUUAUAAAAAAUAAACUGUACUGAAUGUUUGGGAUCCAAGAUAUGUUACCGUAGAAUGUAAGCUGGAAACAAGUUUAGAAUCAUCAGUGGUUGGUCAUCUUACCGAUCCCUUCAGCACUCCAUAGAGAUUGAUGUGUUCAAUCAAGUGCUGGGGAAUAAAGAAGUGAUAUGUUUGGUAAAAGGAAAAUGAAUAAGUUGGAUAUACCCGAACCACUCCACAUGCUCUGCCGCAGUUCCGACACAAGACUGAAUUAAUAUGUAUGCAGUCGAGAAAGACAAAUGGUCGAAGGCAGGAACAAUUAUAGGGACUGGUGAAUAAAGAAUCUACAAAGAAAUAUUAAAUUAAAUUAUCUUUAAAAUGUUGCAUGCAAAUGUCGUAACCCUAAAAAAAAAAACAGACCAACAUAAGACAAACAAAAUAAAGUGCAGAUUCAUGAAGAGCGUAUCACAAUAAAACAGAUAAACAAGGACGCAACACACAACUGAAGAAACUUUCUGAAGAACUCCUGUGUGUGACACGACCCAACACCUGCAGGCAGAUCGAUGACACCUUUCUCAUGAACAAAUCACUGCCAAAGAUCACUGACAAAUUUGAUGAGACCGAUUAACUUAACAGCAAUAUUCAGAUCAAUUUCAUUGUAAACUCUGCAUAACUUGGUCCACAAUUGGUUCUGAAAAUGACACCGUAUCGUGACACGCCGUCUGCUGGUUCUAGUGGGCCACAGCUCUCUAUGAGCAUGACUCGGCCACGAUAUGCCAUUUCUUCACCAUUUUCAUAUCCAAAAAAGCUCCAAAUACUGUCUGUCCCAAGUUAUCUCAUCCAGAGUUUCAGUCAUGCAGCACCUCCUGAUUCUACCGGAGGUCUAGAGCACUUCCUUUGAGCAGUUGCUCUAGAGCAGUUCCUUUGAGCACAGCCUCGAUAUCCAGCCUGUACCAGGGCCCAACGACGGCGAAUUGGCAAACGGCCCAUCCCAAAACCUGUGGCGACAAUGUGCAUGCAAGCGCGACGAAAGUGUCGUCCAUGAGCCUCGAGCGUUCUACCGCCUUAUCCCGGGUUCCCAGCCAAGUGGAGCAGGGUCCUCCACGAUCUCUUCAGUGGCCGGCGUUGGACGCGGCGAAUUCUUUACACGCCGCCGCUAUCCGAGCCACGAACACCGAGGCACGUGCGCCCGGCGCGGCCACAUGUCGAGCAGCACGCGAUCGAACGCUCUUUUCCGUCGUUCCCAAUCCGGCCUCAAAUUCAAUUUGGCGCCCCAUUUGGUAAUGGCUAUAUAACGUGACGAGCCACCCGAAGCAUUCGCCGCAUCUCGCGCCCCGGCAUCUGCUCCGCUUCCUCUCGGCUAGCCGGCCACCGUGUCGUAGUCUCGUGGAGCGACAGAGCAAGGCGGCGGCGGCGGCGGCGGCGAGGAUGCUGGAGAGCCAGGCGGUGAUCGGGGACACGGACAUGCUGCAGGCGAUGCAGCAGGACGCGCUGCGGCUGGCCGGGAAGGCGCUGGACGACUUCGAGGCCGUCGACUCCACCGAGAUCGCCCGGUUCAUCAAGAAGGUCGGUCGGUCGGCCGGUCACCGUUCGUUGUUGCAGCGAACACUGAACGCCUUUUCAGAAUGGUGACAUGUUUCUUUGGUUUCUGAUGCUGACAUGUUUUUGCAGGAGUUCGACCGGUCGUACGGGCCCGGAUGGCAGUGCAUCGUGGGCACCGACUUCGGGUCCUUCGUGACGCACCACUCCGGCUGCUUCAUCUACUUCGGCAUCGGCAACCUGGCCAUCCUGCUGUUCAAUGGCGGCGCCGGCGGCGCUCCUCAGGGUGGCACGGCGGAGCAGGCGCGGCUCACGGCGCUGAAGGCUGCUGUCGAGGCGUGAGGGAUCGGAAUGGCGUAGGGUAUGCAGGAUGGAUUGGUCGAAGUUAUUAUGGUUCGUGUCAUGGUGUGGCUGUGUUCCUGCCACGUCGUUUCGUGCUUGCUUGCGAGUGAGAGUGGCCAGACUCGAGUGUAGCGAUCAAACUUGGAGGACUUUAAUUGGGUCUUGUUUUUAAUUGGGUCUUGUUUAGUUUCCCAAAAUCCCAACUUUGGUACUAUGCAAAAAGAAGAUUCCCCGUCACAUUAAACUUGCGGUACAUGCAUGAAGUACUAAAUGUAGACAAAAUCAAAAACUAAUUGUACAGUUUUGUUGUGUAGUCAAUGUUUGGACAAUAAUUCAUAAAUACAAACGAAACGCUACAGCACAGUGAUUUUGAUCGUUCAAAAUCGAGCAACUGAACAUGCCCUUGGUAAAAAACAUUGUUCUGGCGGAAGCAGGUCACACCGAAAGUGCGGAGUGGAACUUCACAUGCAUUUUCAUCAUUCUCACGUUUCUUCAGAAUCUUCAGAAUCAUUGUUCUCGCAGAAGCUGUGGGCUAUGGGCUACGGAUCAGUCCUUCGCUAUCCCUUCCUUUUCGUCCGUCUAUCCGGAAUUUUUUUAUUUUCAUAUUUUUUUCGAUUUUGCACAAAUAUAUAGUCAAAUCAAAAAUUUGCAAAAUGGGCUUAUACCGCCGGCUGAAACUGUACCGCCAUUUGAAACGGUACCGCCGGUUGAAACGGCGGUAUGGGCCUGGCGCCUCAACGGUCACCCAGCGGAUAAGCUCUGCGCGGCAUCCGAGGAAACUGGCCCUUACCGCCGGUCAAACAGCGGGGCUCGCCCACCGUAUAAGCCGCACCCACGCCCCUCCCCUCCCCCGCACCAGACUGCGCCAGACAGAGAGAGAACGCCAGAGAAAGAGAGGAAAUGAAAGAAGGGAAGAAAAAAAAGAAGGAGAGGAGAGGAGGAGGAGGGAAGAAGGGGGAAGGAAAUUCUUCCGUCGUUUCGAGGUAAAUUUUUUUAAUCUUGUAGUUUAGAUAGUAUAGUGUAGUGACUAAAUCUAGAUUUAGAAAUAUUAGUGGAUCUGAGAUUUAGAAAUAGCUAGUGAAUCUAAGACUUAGAAACAUUUAGCCGAAUUUAGAUAUAGUAAAAUGUAGCUUAGUUGGUUCAAUAAAUUUAGCUUAAACAGUAAAAUAGAUUUAGCUUCGGUGGUAUAGUAGAUUUAGCUUAGGUGGUAUAGUAGAUUUAGCUCAGGUAGUACAGUAGCUUUAUUUUAGAUCACAGUAAAUUUAAGAAAUAUUAGUGGAUCCGAGAUUUAGAAAUAUCUAGUGGAUUUGAGAUUUAUUUGUUGUGUAUAUUAGUUCUGGUACAUGUCUACGGUAAAUUUAGUUAGUAAGUUUGGUUUAGUGUUACAUAGUUAUUUGUUUAUUGAAUUGAAGUCGUCAUUGCAGUUAACUGACAUCAUUGUAGUCGUCAUUGUGGUACACUAAGCUUGGUUUAGUGUUACGUCGUUGUCUGGUCCCCUCUCUGUUUGGGCUGUUGCAGCGCCGGUUAUAUAGCGUGAACUCCCGCCGGUUCAUCCGGCGGUAAGGGUCCUUCCACCGUUUCAACCGGCGGGGGUUCCUCGAUCCGCGCGCACACUGCUUCGGCGGCAGCACUUAGGUGGUGAGGGCCUUACUACCAUUUCAACCGGCGGUAGGGCUCUCCCACCUGCUGAAACGGUGUCAGGGACCGGUGUAGGGGGUGUCAGGCCGUACCGCCGUUUCAGCCGGCCGUAUAAACCCAUUUUUGCAAAUUUUUUAUUCCACUAUAGAUUUUUGUAAAAUCGAAAAAAAUAUAAAAAUAAAAAAAUAUCUCCUCUCCGAGCAAAGCACAUGGGCCAAAACCUGACCUGGGAGACAACAGGAGAGAGAGAGAGAGACUUGUACAAGCGUUGGGCCCUGUCUCUGAACCAUAGGCCCAUGAACACACUGCUCUUUCCGUUCCAACUAGCCAGAAUGCCAGAUCACCUAACACCCUAUCAAGGGGUAAGCUUGCUACCUCAGUGACACGACCCGAUCUCACUUUUCUUCAACACUUUUUGCACACAUCGUUAUCACGUUUACAAAUCAUUUACUUGUCAAAAAUGCAAGAUGUCGUGCACGUAGACACUAGCGGAGUUAGGUGUAAACAAGACGUGUAGGGGUCCCUGUCCUGUUCCCACGAAAAUUAUGUCUUGAAAUGCUGCAAGAACAAUUGUAUCUGAAUACCUAAACAAACAAUUGUAUCUGAACCGGCUGCCGUCCAAAUCAUGUUUAUGGAAUGGGAGCAGUCUGUUCACGUGGCCCAUGACAGGGAGACAGGGAGAGUGCCUGAAUAACUAUCUGUCGCAUAUACGUGGGUCCUACUUGUCAGCGCCAUAGCCUCCUCUUCCUCUACCUUCGCCCGCUGCCGGUUCUCCUUUCCCUUCUUCCUCUUCCUCCACCGGCCUUAGAAAAGGGGUGGGAGAUCGUAGGUAGACCUUGACGGCAGAGGCAGGUUGUGAGGCGGCGCGGCGCGGUGACGGGUGGAUAGCCGGUAGGCUAGGGAUUGGCCGGGGCGAAGGUUGGAGGUGAGCUUCUCGGCGGAGCCGGAUUAGGGUGACGGAGGGUGGCGGCGGCAGAUGCGGUGGCUAGAGUUGCCGCAGACGGUGGAGGACAACAGCACGGGGGCGAGCGGAGGAGAGAGAGGGGCCGAGGAGAGAAGGCAGCGGGUUCGGCGGCGAGCCGCCGGAGCCAGGGAGGAAGGUGGUGCAGGGGCUGUUACUGAAAAUGUCGCCUUGAGUGACACGUAGCACCGCCCCAGUUAGGUUGCGACAAACGAUUUGAUGCCUGAACAACGUGCAGUCUGACGAAGCGCUGGAGACCAACAGAUUCGAGCAUUACAGCGAUAAGCAAGGUAUAAAUUUAGGUAACAGCAAAUCUAAAUAGUCCAGCAGGAAAUCCCAGGCAGCAGCACCUAAAACUUGCGACGAGAAAUGGACAGGCUGAGACGAUAUUCAGUCAGUGUGCACUGGCGCGUCACAUCACAUCAGCAUUGGCAUUGUUCUUGUGCUCUGAAUCUGAACUGAUUCGGCGAACCAACUUUAACCAACCAAGCCAACCACCAAACAGGCUACUGAUGCGAUCUAGGAAUCCAGAUCCAAACAGCAUUGCCAAGGCACUCGACCAUCCGCAACAAAAGCUUGGCGAUUCGAGCACAGUCCAGCCACUGAUGGCGUACACGCGUGAUGCAGCAGCACAGCGCGUACCAGUGGAGCAUAAUGGCCCAGCAGUUGCAACCUUGGCCACAAGGAAGAUGAAGAUGCCUGAGAAUCUUGCAAUGCCCAUCGAUACCACUCAGAAGUCACAGCAGCUCAUGAUUCUCAAUCUUUUGCGGUGAAUUUAAAAAAAGACCGGAACAACUGUAGGCUCUGAAUAAGUUAUCAUCAUCAUCAUGAUCUCAAAUAAGCAAAGCAAUCCGUUUGAGAAAAAAGGGAAAGCAGCAAAGCUUCUCACUCUCAGUAUCUCCUCAGCAUCCUAUAUGUACAUUGCGGCAAGCCAUCUAGAUAAACGCACUCAAGAACUCCAAAUCCACACGCCCGAUCAGCAAAAGUUUUGUUAAAAAAGCCCGUGAAACCAAGAAUUAAUCCCCAAGUAGAAAAAAGGACGUGGCGAAACGUGUGUGUGUCGCGUCCGGGGCAGUCGAUUCUGUCACCGGCACCGGGAGAUGUCGAUCUCGAUGAGGCUGUCCUCCUCCAGCAAGAUCUCGAUCAUCCCGUCCUCCCCCUCGCCCCCACCGCCGAUGACGCCGUCGUCGUCGCUGUCGCCGCCGACGCUGUCCGAGUCGGAGUCGGAGUCGAGGUCGGAAUCGGAGGCCCAGGACAGGCCCAUCUCCUCCGGCCGCCCCCACUCCGCCUCGAACUCCUCGUGGAUCACCUCCAGGGCGCGCCCCUUGGCCACCCACGACGCGAACUCGAGGGCCUCCGCCGGGAACACGAUCUCCCGCUCCGGCGGCGGCGGAGAAGGAGGUGGGGGAGGCGGCUGGAGAGGCGGGUGCGCGGCCUCGUGAAGCUGCUGCUGAGGCAGCUUCUCCUCCGGCUGCGUCGACGUAGGAGGAGGGUUGACGGGAGCGGGGGACGCCGGCGGCGCGGAGCCGAGGCGGAGGAGGGAGAGGAGGAGGAGCAGGGAGGAUAGCGAGGCGGGGGAGAGCACGAACAGCAGCAGCGGCCGGGGGAGGUAGAGCACGGCGAGGAGGGAUGCCGCGGCGGCGGCGGCGAGGAGCGGGUGGUGGUGGUGGGGCUGCCGCCGGUCGCCGCCGGCGGGGACCUCUUGCGCCGGCGGCGGCGGGGAAGGUGAGGUGGAGGGGGCGGAAGUGGCCAUUUAUGGCGGGAGGAGUGGAGCGGUUAAAGCGCCGGCACCCCGCCAAGCGCGGCGGUUUUUAUAUAGAAGGGGAAGCGGACAAGCAGAGGAGAUUUGCCGCAAAGCUCCGGCACGGUUUGGCAGAAGAGGGGAGAGGGAGGCAGAUGGAGUGAGUGACCGCGUCGAUGAACUACUGCUACGGCUUGGCAGCUCUUGCAAGUACACGCCAACGGGGGAGAGGACAGUCGGGUAGAAAGUCCAGGGCUCAGAACGUGAACGGCCAAACCGUGCCGCGUUAAAACUGGGAUGACUUUUAAGUGCUACUGCUUGGACAUCGGUAUUUUCUUUGGGUGAUUUUUCGAGCUGUAUAGAACAGCGUACAUUUACGAUUUUACGGUACGCGAAGAAGUGGUAUCGCUUAUUUAGGAAAUAACCAAUUGAAUGGUGUUAUUCCUCUGAUCACGUAUUUAAGCCCACCCAUGUUGAAGUCAAAAGUUCUUUUUAAUUAUGACUAUUAAUAUAUAAAGCGACUAGAAUUAAAUCAUAUUUGACUUGUAACCCUAGACCGUCAGCGUAUAUAAAGCGACCAGGGACACCCCCGAGGGUAACUCCCCUCAACCCAACAAACGUUAACUCUUUGCACCUGCGAUUAGCAAUAUAAUUCAUCAGAACACAGGACAUAGCGUAUUGCUCUUCGGAGGCUCGAACCUGUCUAAACCUUGCGUCCCUAUGUUACCAUUCGAGUUCUUGAUCUUACAAUCUUGCUCAUCUACAAAUCUACCACCUGAAUAACCUCUAGUGGAUUGCCGAUUAGGUUUAGACAAUUAGGUUCACUAACCAAAAAGUACUUUCAUAUAUGCAUUACUCCUUCCAUUUAGGACGUUCUAAUAUUAUUGAUAUCGCUAAAAGUGUUAGAUUGGAGAUGGUAACUUGAUAUCUCGAAGUGUUACUCCUUCCAUAGCUCGAAGUGUUUUAUGGAUUUGAUGUACAAUUCCUAGUUCCAUGGCCAAACAAGUUUUGAUACUUCGAAUUAGUACGGUUGUGGCACAGAUGGUACGAGUUUUACACCGUGAUGGUCUGAUUCUAAUUGUUACAAAAGCUAUGAUAAAAUUUUGGAACCGUAAUUGGCACAAUGGCACAAAUACGUUUCCUUUUUUGAAGGAAAUGGCGGGUGCAAUGCCAUGUCAUUUAAGUAAAAUUAGCAUAAAUGCCCGUGCAUUGCUACGGUUUCUUACCAACUUCCAAGUUGUCAUCCGCUAGCACCUAGUUCGCUUUCUUCACUUUCUAAUCUGGUUUAGAAUGUUUCAUAAUAUUUGUAUACAUCUCUGAUAAUAAUAAACGGACAACUCCUUUGAAUUCUGCAUGGCCUAUUUGAACGGUAGAAUCUCAAUUACAUAUGUAAUGUGUCCUACAUCUAGUUCAAACAUGCAUUAAAACUUCUGAUAAGAUUCAGUACUAAUGCAACUCAUGUCUUAGUUAUUAUGAACAUAAGAGAUUAUCCACAAAACUUUCAAGCUAUAAAAUGAAAAAAAUUAUAAGGCUAAACUAAAUGCUCAGUCCUUGAUUAUAAUAUACUCAACAAUUCAUGCCUGGUCCUGAUAGCCUGAUAUCCUGUCUAGUUGCUCCAAGAAACAUGAGCAAUCAACAUUAUCCUUCAGCAAUUUGCUCCUCAUAAUACAGUCAACAAUGACCAAAUGUUCUACAGACUCAGCCAAAUCAGCGUUGGAGGAUUCGACAUUUCUUCCCAGUCUUUUUUGCGGGACCCACAUCAGGCUGGCAAUCCAUGGCAACCACCGGCCAGCACCUUCCUGCCGCUAAACCCCUAGCAUCGCAUGGCCGCCGCACGACGGGGCGGGAAGAGGAGGGGCCGCCGCCCCUCAAGCUCACCGUGGCCAUGCCGCAACGACUUCGUCCAACCUCCCAACGCUGCUCCUCGAGCUCACCGUUGCCGUGGUGCCGCCCGCCUGAACCUUGUCCCCGACCUCUGCCGCCCCUCAAGCUCCCACUACGGCCCGUGCGUCUACAGUGCUGCCGUCAGCACGAGCUUCCCGCUGCAGCCCGCGCGUUUUGGUGCCGCGGCUCGCAGUCGUCACCGCUGGUGUUGGCCAUGGUGAACAUGACCGGGUUGACGGCAAAGAACAACACAAAUUGGGCUUCCUAAUGCCGAGCGUGAGCUCCCUGCAACCCAAACCGAGCUUCAAACACAAAGCUCGAACUCGUCGCUUCCCAAAUCGAUCUUUCGGAUGCCAAGCUUGAGCUUCCCGCUGCCUACGAGGAUGGACUAGAAGGGUGCGACUGCCGCCGCCCGCGGCGUCAGCGCGGGAAGAGGAAGGGGCAACCUCCCUUGACACUUGCACUCUACAGUCAUCGCGGCCAUGGCCUUGCGCCAUAGAUUUCUUGUAUCCCACGUCAGUAAGUUGAGGGAGGGGGAAUCGUCGCCAGUGCUUUUAGCCACCGUCACCUGCAGCGAUUUGCACCGGAAGCAAAGGUGUUGUCAGAAAGAGAAGGGGUAGGCUCGCCACCUGCUAGUUUUGCUUGGCUUGGGCUCACGAAGGGAGUGCGGGACGGAGAAAGAAAGAAGACGAUGAGAGAGAGAAAACGAAUUACGCCGGUUUAACUUCCAGAACUGCGGGUUUAUUAUGAAAAAAUUGAAGGAUUUUUUUGCAAAAUAACCACGACGGUUGAAAGAAACCGUACUUUAAUAUUAAGUAUAGAUAUAGAUAUAAGAAAAAUAAGUCUUGAAUAGAUUUGAUUACAUAAAUAAUAGUUAUAGUAGGAUUUUUUUUCUGUUUUUCUUGUGCCAUGUGUGCCCGUAGCAUUUCCGUCUCCACUGCCAAGAUCCAGGAAGACCUGUGCCGGUCAAACCGGCGUGGCCUUGUGCUGCGACCUCUUGGCAGCAGCGCAGUGAUGAAUGAUGAUGGCCGCCGCGCACACAGAACCGCAGGAAACGGCGCACCGGCACGGCUGGGCCGGUGGCUCUCCCUCGGUUCGGGCAGGCGAAACAAAGAAGUGGAAUACGGCGAUUCGAAACCAGACCAUCCGGGCAACCGGGGAGGCAGAGCCGCAGAGGCAAAGGCGGGCAAAAGCAGCGGCAUCCUCUGCUGCCUGCCGAUUGCCGGGGCGCCGAGACCAACAAAGCUGGCAAGCCAAAGCGGCAAAGCGUCCUCUGGCACGGCUCUCACUAGCGCAUGCGGCGUAGCAGCACGUAGUCACAGUGUCACAGUCGGAUACCUGCUCGCCGCCGGCAGGACGAGUUGCUGUCACCGCCACGUACCGCAAAACUCGCAAUCCUCUGCGCUGCCGUGCCACGGGAAAGCGCCCGGAGCAGUGGCAGGAUCGCUUGCACUCCAAGGCUUUGCCAGGAGGGACGCGGGGGACGGACGGCCUACAACGGAGGCAUGUUCUGAUCUUCGGGUUGGUUGCGCUGGGCUGGGGCAUGGUGCGGGGACUGUCCUGCCCGCGCCAGGUUACUUUUCCUCAACCGAUGCUUAGCUUCUUGGUUCUCGAAGAUGAGAGAUUUCCUGAACGGAGUUGGGGGGAUUCUUUGAGGAGUUUUUAGUUUCCGAAGCCCGGAUCGGAGAAAACGAAAUUCGAGAGAUCCUACGUUGUACUAGUCGUACCUGGUCCUAGGUUUCUGCCCUUCUGUCGUACACGUCCCUAGGCCAAAGUUGCAGUGCCAUACGAUGCGAUGCCGGAGCCCCAGAGAUCUGAGUUCUGAGUUCUGAGCGAAUGUCUCGGUAUGAUGUACUACAGUACUAGGAGGUACUCCGUAGGAGCAAAGCAGCCGGUACGUCGCUCUCGUGCAAGAAGGAACAGGCGGCUAGCACUGUGUGAUGUUGAUGGCGAUCGGGAUCCAAACAAACUGAAGCCGUCGCGUGUACUGCGUAGUGACGUUACCAGAUCACCACACUAUAUGAAGUACGAGCUCAUGAUCUGCCGACAUUUCUAGCUGGGACUCGCUGAACAACCACGGAGGGCGCACCGCGUAGUCCCAAGUCCCAACCCGGAACCUCCCAAGCAGCCCCCUGCAUAUGAAUGCGCAUGUUCAUACUUGCUACUGAUAAAAUUUUACUUCUGCAGCGACCACACAAGCUGCUGCCCGGCUGCCCCCCGUGAAAAAAACGUGACCCAUACAAAAUUGGGGGGUCCAACUCGCAAAAUCUAACCAACACGAGUGGCUUUUCAACGUUAUGAUAUGAUAAUCUUCAACAGUUCAACGUGCAAUCGGUGACGCCUUUUGCGUCCAAGAAAGGAGGAAUCUGGCUUAUUUUUUAAAAGAAAAAAAAAUUCUGCGGGCAUGGUUGGAGUCCGAUUGUCCAAAGAUAUGAACACGCUUUUGCAGGACGUCCUGCACCUAGAGAUUGCAAUCUGUCCCUUGUUCAUUUGAUGAUGCCGGUUGCCGGGGGCAGGGGAUUUCCCAUCCGCACGUGAACUGAUGGGCGAGGGCGCUAGGCUUCGGUGCGUCCGGGUCAAAAAGGUGCCAAGGGGGAAGCACAGCCCCUCCGUAACUGAUGAAGAGUACUGCGACGAUCCACUGUAAAAACUCCACUUUGAUUCAGUACCAAGUUAACCGGCCAACGGUGAGGUUGGAGUAGAAUAGUACUGAGCGUGAAGGUUAACCGGCCAACGGCAAAGAACGAGCCGUAGGUACGGGAAGUUGCUGAUGGAGUAGAGUACUUGCUAGAGCAACUGUAACUGAAGCUCGUCGAUCGAUCAAGUUGCUGAUGAAAAAGUGUACAGCCAAGGAUGCUGGAACAUUGCAUCUCGCAUGCAUGAGCAGCUAGGUUUCUCCAGCCAAGUACUACAGCAAACAAGUGUGAUGAAUCAGAAAUGAUUUCGGCAGCUCAACUUGCAGGUUUAAAUGAUUUCUAGUGACAGGCAGGCCAUGAAUCAGAAAAGACCGUAAAAUGCAGAACGAGUCUGAUGCUUCAACAGUAUGCCAGCGUUAAAAGUGUGGAACACGUGAAGGUUUACUCUAUCUGCAGUUCCGCACAGGCCAAAUACUCCGGCUGACCGGCAGCACCUGCCAUGUUUUGUUGUUUAUGAUGAAGAGUUUUGAGCCUUGCUUAGUUGCCAAAAUUGGGAGUGCCAAAAUUACUGUGACGGCACUGUAGCACACUGUAGCGUUUCGUUUGUAUUUGUGAAUUAUUGUCCAAACAUUGACUAAUUAGGCUCAAAAGAUUCAUCUCGCAAAGUACAACAAAACUGUGCAAUUAGUUUUUAAUUUCAUCUACAUUUAGUACUCCAUGCAUGUACCGCAAGUUUGAUAUGAUGUGGAAUCUUCUUUUUGCAUAGUGGCAAAGUUGGGAGUUAGGGGUGAAGUAAACAAGGGCUUGAACGCCAAACAAAUAUUUAUGACAAAAGCUCGACAGCCCCCAAGAAAAAAAGGGAGAUACUCAUACUACUGUAGUACUCAGCGUGAGCUCGUCAGUGACGGAAAAGAGAGACAGGGAGAGACCCGGCCGGGAUGGGACCGCGCAGGUGUUGGACCGCCGGGCGUUCUGCGAUCAACCGACGCCGGCUGCCGCGCUGCUGGCUUACUUUUUUGGCGCGCCAGCCACCGGCACCGUGGCCCGAUCCGGCCGGCGGGCCAAUAAUUCGUUGGUUCGGCGCGACGGCCGUCGUCAGGGAUCGACCACCCCCGGCCGGGUCCCCUCCGCCCACUACACGUGCCGCGGUGCCGGCCCGCGGCGACCAGUGCCGCUGCCGGCUGCUCCACGGCUGGCAGCCACGGAGGCGCGGAAGCUGGCACAGCUGCGUGAGGCGGCGCGCGUCCUGUCGCCGGCGUAAACGCGUGGGACGGCCAGGCCAAGCCUCUUGUGUCUUUCUGGGGCGGCUGCACCUGCCCUGCCGGUGAAGUGCUGUAGCAAUUGCGCGGCCAUUGCCGUGGUGGCACCGCUAGUAAAAGCGCCGUGCUCCACGCUUGGGUCCGGGCGGCUCAAAUGAUUGCACGAGCAACUGCUGAUCGAUUACAUUUGCCAGUUGCCAGCGAUCUCGUUUCCUUCCGGGUUCCAGGAACCAUCAAUGUGGACUGUGGAAUGGCGUCAAGAAGGUGGCACUGUGCUGCCUACCAUAAUACCAUUGCAUCUGCACAGUGCACUUGCACCGGGUUGGGGAGCUGCACUGCUUUUACGGAUUAGAGUAUGUUUGGGGUCGUUUUACACCGGAUGGUGGCUGCGUACUAGCGACAGCAAAUGGGUGUAAAAGAAUCGCAAAUGUUCAAACCAUAAUAAAAUCACGCUAGCGAACUAGUAGCCUCAUUCAGAACUCUGGAUUUUGGCCCAUGCUGUAGUGGGCGAGAGCCGAAAGCCACACCACCAACUCCAACAAACCGAACGAAAGAAAAAUCUGGACAGGCAGACUGCAGCUCUGAAGAAACAACACCACUGAUGCCGCACGCAGUUCUUCAGAGUUCAGAGAUAGUGCAAUCUCUGUGCACGCAUGAUUCACACAAUUGCAACAGAUAACACCAUCCAUAUUGAAGCAAAUAAAAGAGUUUAUCUUCUCGUGCACACUAGCAUACGGAGAUCAUACACUUACAGCAUACACAAAAGAGAAGAGAGAUCUCACAUAACUUUUACAAGGUACUUCUACAAAAAAAAAAAAAGAUAAAAACAUCGUCUGUGUUCUUCAAUCACAGCAUUGAAGAAACUCUCUCUAUAUAUAAGCUAGUACUAGUAACUCAUAUGAGUAUACUACUUACCACUACCUAAAAGUUUCUCUAUGACGUGGGCUACAAAAAGCACUGAACUUUGCAGCCUGACACUACUAGAUACACUGGCAAGCUGAAGUGGAAACUGAAAGCCUGUGAUGUCAUAUAUUUACAUCUAGACCUCGGAGAGCAAGGUUUCGAAUGACGCCGACAGGUUGAUGGCGAUGCUAUCCAGGUUCUUGUUCCGGAGGCGCGACCUUGCAACCCUGCGUUGCAUGGGCGCCCCGGGGCCAUCUUCAUCCUCGCCGUCCUCGUCGCCUCUAAAACCGGCCUUCGAGGACGGCGUCGCAAACUUGAAAUGCAGCUCUCGAGCAACAACUGUCUGCAAAGAAGGAAUUGAACAAGGCGAUGUUAGCCAACAAAGUGGACAAGAAACACAAUUUGGAAUCUGGAAUUAGGUGGUAGGGGUUCGAAGUGCGUACUGCUUCGUUGACUGGUUUCGACACGAGGAAGAGCUGCCUCAGAUCACUGUGGUUCACCUUGCACAAGACUUUAAUCUGCAAAAUCAGAAUUAAAUUGGGAUAAGCAAGGCAUACAGGACUGAAUCAGAAUGCGAGUAAUAAAAGAAAACAGAUCAGUGACAAGCAAUUACCAGGACGUCUUGAGGCAGCGAUUCAAGAAGGCUGACGGCGUCAUCCAUGUGGAACCGGACGCUGCGCUGCUUGCGCAGGGUGCGGACCGGAGAGUGAGGGCUCCUGGGGCCCGGAGUCGGUGACACGGCCACCCUCUUCCUCCCCAGGAUUCUCGUGCUGCUCCUGCAGUUCGAGAAGCUCAAGCUCGUGGCAAGAGACCCCUUCUUCGCGUCGCCCUGUCCAAUUGCCAUUUCCCCCCUUUGCCUGUUAAACCCUACUGCCCUUGGUCUUUGGUGAUAAAAAGAUCACUUAUCCAAUCGGAGAUCUCGUAAGGAAGAAUAUCUGCACGGGAUUAUGGAGAUAAGAAUCAUCAAGCUGAAAGAAAAAGAUUGGCGAAUUUCCUUUUAAAGACGAACCGAUUCCCUUCCAAAAUUUUAGAUCGGAAAUCCCGCGGGAGCUCUCGUUCAGCGAAAAAUCCCCGAUUCAAAUUGUCCCCAGCCACAAACCAAAACUACAGUCGAACACCACUAAGGCUCAGGCAACAGACCAGCCGCAAAAGCGAAACAGGAGCCGUUGCAUCAAACGCAAUCUAGAAAAGGCAGCAUGAUCACAAACCAAUCAGCUCUAAUCCAAUCCCCCGGCAGCGAAAGCUAGAAAAAGGCAGCAAAUCACAAUCCAAUCACCUCUAAUCCAAUCCUCCUCAGCGCAAGGAUGACAUACCACGCGAAACAGAACAAAGAAACAGAGGGCAGGAACACACUGCCAGAGCAAAGCCCGACGAGGAAGAAGAGACAAACAAGCACCGAAUCGAAACAGGAAUUCGAGAUCGGAGGAAGAGAUUACCUCUAGUUUCGCUCUCAAUCUCAAACUCCUCCUGCUCCCGAUAAUCGCACAACAACCUGUGGAUGUCUUCCCCUACUGCUAAGCAACCUAACCUGCGGCGAAUGCUGGAGGACCAGACCUGCGAGGUAAAUUUGGAAACAGCUGACCUCCCCCUUCCCCGGUUUUAUAGGAGGCCCCUCUAUUUGCUCCUACCCGGGGGAACCUGCCUACGAAGUAGAGAAAUCCUCCGCGCGGGGGCCUUUCUAGAAAAUUACGGCAACCACCAGAAUCCAAUGCUGCUUCGUGCGCAAGAUCUUUUUCACCUCCCGCGCCCACCCGCUAAUCCACGCUGCGCCGCUCACUGACACACGGGACCGGAUAAACAGGGUCCUACACGUCGGUCGAUGUGGGUCGGUGGAGGCGGCCGUGGAGGAGCGCGUGAUUUACGGGGUUACUUUUUUGAAAUCGAGGCGGGUUGGCGCUCAACCCGCGUGUGGUGCGGAGCGCGUGGGAUCGGACGGCGCGGGCUGGUGGUGGACGGGCUACGUGGCGCGAUCGCGUGGGUCUGGAACUAGCCGUUGGGGGGCGGGGGGUGGUGGGACGUGGCCCGGCGGCGGUGGGAGUGGGGACGGGGUUGGUGACGUGGUGGCUGACCGGCCGAGAUUGGAUCGCCACGCGAAAAAGAAACGACGGCCACGCGAGUAAGUCGGUGGAGGUCGGUCCGUCGCCGCCCACCGUCUGGUUUCUCGCCGCGUGGAUGUCGUGUCAAGCCCCUUGUUCUCCGGCGGUUUAAAAAUGUAGUUUGGGGACAGCUAGCGAGCGCGGCGCGGUAAUCCGGUAACAAAACGGCGGCCAAAGCGCGGCGCGGCAGAUGGCGUUGGAUUGGGACGCAAGUAUCCUCUGUCCACUGCUCGCUCAGCUGAGAAAUUUUAAUGUAUUUAAUUAAAAAAAAUUACUGUGCGCAUCCAUUUGCUUAAUGAGGAACUUCGCUGCGCGCGUCGUCUAUCCACCUGUUCGAUUAAUUAACGAGAGGGCUGGUGCGUUUAAUUCGAUUACGGCUGCCUGUAUAUAAGAAAAAAACGAUAAUCACUUGGUUGGUGGAAAAAGAGUGCGUUCCGAAAGAAACUGUGCUUCUGGAGUGUGUUCACGUUUACCUAGUUUUGAGACGCUGGUGCGGUUGAGUCAAACGAUUUGACCACGUCCGCGUUAGUGCGUUACCAACACGAGUCAAAGACAGAGCGAGGACGGCGUCAAAGGGCAACUAGCCGGCCGGCCGGCCGAGUGGUGGGGGUGGGGCGCACCUCCCACCUUCUUCGUAGGGCGGCUCUGUUCCAGCUCUUCCUCAACCAAUCCCCGUUUGGUUUCGUCUUGCACGCAGCGACUGGACCACACGUAGCGCCUCCCGCAGUGUCGCUCUAGGGCCGGCGCUGCCGUUACGCGCAGCCCAAGAAGCGACCAUCGGCUAUUCGGCUGUGCACCCACCAAAAAAAAAAUCGGGACGGGUCCGUGGGACUGUGGGAGAGCGUGCGCGAAAAAUCGCGAAGGCCACAGGAAGCAGCCCGCGUGCGCCGGCGCUGCCGCUGCCGCUGUGCGGCGCCGCGCCACGCCUCCGCGCUGCGAGCGCAUCGGCAUCGGGGACGCGUCCCAGCUGCGAGGAGGGGAUGUCGGGGAGCACGUCGUCCGGUAGCGCCGCCGCUACUACCGUCUCGAUGGACGCGCGCCCCGCGCGCGGCCUGGAGCCCUCCUGCAUCACCCCGGAAACAGCUCACGUGUUCCAGCACGAGCCCAGCCCAGCCACGUCCAUAUUUUUUUUUCCCGUAGUUGACUAGGCCUUUGCAAUUCCCAUGGCCUGAAGGGCCGAGACGACGUCCGUGUAAGCCCAUGUUGGCGGAGGUGUUGAUGGGCCGUAUAUAUACACGUUGAAAUCAAAAUUUAUUGGCUGUCAAAUCAUCUCAUCUGAACAGCCUUUGUGCGCUUGCUUUGCUCUCGUUCUGCGUGCAUGCAUGUCGACCAAGGAAAUUUUCGCUUCCGACUGACUAGGACAGCUAGAGAACCAUGGAGGGUUGCAGGAUCUGGACGCAAAUCGUGCUAUCCUCUAUUUGUAGCGUCACUGUACACUGUACAGGACAGUCCCCGAAUUCUCGAGCGAAACGGCCAUGCAUGUGCCCCUGGUACAGCGCCGGUUGCCGCCACGGCAUCGUAUUAACACCGCUUCAGUUCUUUGCUUCGAUUUUUCCUGUCCGGGGCCGCCAGGCGUGCUGAGUCAGGAGAGCAACCACCGCGCGAGCCGAGCAAACGGACAAACGAGCACUCGGAAAGCGGCCCGGCGCCGGUCAGAAGCAGACGAUUCUGUGCAAUUCCCUCCGUCUCCAGGAGUCCAGGGUAGCUGGAUAGGCCGGAUUGGCGAGACACACGACGCGGUGGGCAGGGGUGUGUGUGUGUGCGCGCGCGCCCCCCUCGUCGAAGGCCCCGUACACCGGGAUCACCGGGGGCUGAUGCCGCUGGAUGGCGAUAAGACGAGCAGCCGGCGAUGUUUGCUUCGGGUUCGAGUCAUGGCCAUUGCCCAAUCAUACUGCGAUAGGGUGCACGUACACGCGCAGGUUGAUCUGAUAAGGUAAACAUAAGAGUUGAGACAGGAAUCCAGGAGAGAGACGCUGCGGUCCUUUCGACGGGUCCCGUCGAAACUACAGUCGACAGACAGAGGUAAGGUCAUCCACAACAGUCCUAGCUAAUUGCUAGUCAGCACUAAAUAGCUAGCAGUCCAUGCAACUAUCUAUAUAGUGCUAGCUAUUUGUUAUUUUUAGUACUUUCAUGCACAGAGAGAGAAUGGAUGUGCUAGCGAUUUGGCGCAUCGUCGCGCAUGCGAGCUGAGCAACAAGCAAGUCGCCGGCUCAAAUAUUUUUACAUAUUCUCUUUCCUUCACAUAAGAUACAUGCUAAACUGUACACUCAAAUAGCUAACUGACUCAGCACCAUUACGGACGCCCUAAGAGCACAAGGCCCGCUGCUAGCCACAGGAAGCAGCCUCUGGGCUCUGUGGUCUGCGGCGCAUGGUGCCAUGUCAGCCAUGAUCACAUUCCAGCCGCGGCCAAUGAUCCUCCCGCGAUUUUCUAAUGCCAAUUAUAGAGAUCAGGCCUCGGAGCGCCGUACCCGUACCCGCUGCUUGCCGAGCCGGGCCCCGCCCGGCCGCCGCGACUCACGUCCGCGUCAGCGUCAUCCGCCAACGCGGCUGCGGCCGGCGCUCGCGUGGGAUAUUCCUCGGCGCGUCGGCCCGGCGCGGAUGCAUCCACCACCCGAGCUGGCCCCCCGCCCCGGCGGCGCGCCGAAACAAGAGCUGAGCCGGUAGCUCGCGUGUAGCCAAUCGGCGGGCGCCUCUGGCUUCAGGGAAGGGGGAGGGAAGCAAGAAGGGAGGGACCGUGCAUGUUGGCUGAGUUGGAGCUGACGCGCGCCGGUUGAUCUCGUCUCGUGAUCGCGUCCGGGGGAUCCGACAGGAUCCACGGCGCGGGCAUACGGAUAGAUGCGGGUACGUGACAGGCGGCAGAAAACCGGCGAGGGACGGAGGCAGCGGCAGCCGCUGGUUGGCUAGCUAGGCUGGUGUGAUGCGGUCGUCGUGCCGUGCGCAUCUGCCAUUGGGAUCGAUCGAGGCUUCCACGAACCAAGAACGUAUCCUGCGGUACCCGCGCUCCAUGUGCGUGCACGGCGCGACGUUUCCUUCCUUUUUUUUUUUGCCCAACUACUUGCCGGUAGACAACUUAUACUUACAAUGAUCAAGCUAAGUAGCAGUGCAAUUUUUCACAACCACCGAUUCUACAAUGAUCAAACGUUAUGUAUUCUCGAUCGACCACCGAUUUAUAUAUACAACGAUCAACUAUAAGUAUUUCCUCCGUAUCAAAUUAUAGGUUAUUUUUUAUCUCUAAUUUCAUAGUAUUUAUUUUAUACACCUAGAUAUAUAUUAUAUCUGGAUACAUAAGUAAAAGUAAUGAAUCUAGAAAUAUUAAAAUGAUCUACAAUUUGCUGUGAUCAAGCAUAUAUACCGUGUGUGUUACCGUUGAUCAAAGUAUGUGCUACGUAGCUUUCGCAGUGUCGUCCCAAACUAGACGCAAGGAGCGCGACAAGUCCAAAAUCCAGCUAUUCCCCGCCACGCUUCCAUGGAUCUCCGUACCAAUUAUGCAACCUUUUUGGCCCCACAAGGUAGUACACGUCACCGCCAACGAUACGGAGCGCGACUGGUUUAGCUUGCAUGGACCCGUCCCAUUCCAUGUGCCGUGGUGCACUGUUGGCGGUCGUAGCGUGCAGUCCCAGAGGACACAGGCGAGCAUCCACCAGAAGCGCGUCGAGCGGUAAGUGAACGCUAGAUUGGCAGGUAUCAUGCGCUAGCUGUUAGUUGCUGCUGCUGCUGGAUAAUUCUGUAAAAAUUUUUACCUCAUGGAGUAAAGCUGGUCGAUUGACACCUAAAACUGACAGGCUGUUCUUCGUUCAGACGAGAUCUCGAAAGCUAUAGCUAGCCCAGCUAAAACACCCACCCUGAACUUGUGAACUUUCCGUUUUCAAACACACACACCUCUAAAACAACCGUGGAUGGAUUAGCUACCGCAACAAAACAAACGAGGGGUGUUUGAUUCUUUAGUCCAGACUAAAUUUAUGUCACAUCGAAUAUUCAGAUGUUAAUUAGGAAAAUUAAACGUGACCUAAUUAUAAAACUAAUUAAUGGAGGCUAAUUCACGAAACGAAUCUAUUAAGCCUAAUUAAUUCAUCAUUAGCACAUGUUUACGGUAGCACCAUAUUAUCAAAUCAUGAACUAAUUAGGUUUAAUAGAUUCGUCUCGCAAAUUAGUCUCCAUCUGUGCAAUUGGUUUUAUAAUUAAUCUACGUUUAAUACUCCUAAUUAGUAUCAAACAUUCGAUGUGAUAGAAAUUUUAGGAGAUCCUAGAAAACCAAACACCCCCUGAAAUAUCCUGGGCACACCGGCAGAGCUCUGUGAGUCCAGGCCAAUCGAUGAGUCGGCUAGGGGAAUUGCGAGACAAAGCGCACGCAGUUGAUGACCUGGCAAACCGGCACGUGCGCGGCACGCAAUAAAAAAGUCGCAUGAUUAGGCGGAUGAUCUGGCGAUAAGCAUAGAAUAAACAGAGCACUACUGCUAGCGGUCGUCAAUGUUGUUUGCUGGUGAUCACGCAAGUGGGAUUAUAAAAUCAGAGUAAAUUGAUCGCGGCGCUCAUAUUAGAGUAAAUCAGAGUAUGUAGGAAAACACCAGGAUCAUACUCUGAAUCAAAUGGGAGCUGGAUGGACUAGGACAAGUUAAUGCGUAAAGUUUUAAAAUAAAUCCUAAUUACUCUUAAAUAGAUGAUAUUUAUAUAGACGGCCAGUCAAACUUUACAUACCUUCUGAAGACGGAGCAUGAGUCUCGUGUACAUACCACUACUCUAACCUUCUUUUGAAUUCGAAACUUGGGCACAAAUUCAAAUUGAUAGGAACAGGGGGGACAUCAAUUAAGUUCUAUAUAUGCUGUUCUCAAACUUUUUAUAUAUCUUAACGACUAAUGUCAUGCACGCAACAGAUAUUUAAAAACUGUAAUAUGAAAAAUAAAUCGGACGGUUUUCUCGUAGUUAUACUCUUUCACAACUAUAAUUGACAAAGAUGAGUGUUCUUAUGCUUGUAAUUUGUCAGAACGGCUACUAGGUCCGGGGGGCGCAUGUGCUUGUGGUGGUGCGCCGCAAUCUUCAGUUACCAGGACGCGGACCCAUAAAUGAUAAAAACCACUCCAGUGAUCCAGGGGGUUGUGUCCAGGCUGCAGCAACGUACAGACAGAACUGGCAACAGAAGGCGAAAUAGCACAUCCGACCCUGCCAGGUAGGAAAAUCACAGGCCAACACCCCUGAAGAGGCAAGCUGCGACGGCGCUUCCCAUAUAAAUACCCGCCUCCGGCAUCGUCUCCAACCCGCAACUCACGAGCAGCAAAAGAGCACAGGCAAAACCACGCAUACACACACUGCCGUGGCAAUGGCCGCCGACACGGACACCACCGCCCCGCUCCUGACGAGCCACAAGCCGCCCAAGGCGCCCACCAUCGAUGACACCAUCGAGAAUUACAUGGGCACCACCGGCGUGAUGCAGCUGUUCAAGGCCAUCCUGCUGGCAUUCGCCUGGGCCUUCGACGCGCAGCAGGUGUUCAUCUCCGUGUUCACGGACGCCGAACCGCAGUGGCACUGCACCGGAGCCUCGCCGUCCUGCUCGCCGGCGGCGCCCCCGGCCUCGCCGUGCUGGCUCCCGCCGGGCGCGUGGGCGUGGGACCGCCCCGCCGACUCGACGAUGGUCUCGGAGUGGGCGCUCAAGUGCGCCGGCCCGGCGCUCGUGUCGCUCCCGGCGUCGUCCUUCUUCGCCGGCUGCCUGGCCGGCGGGUUCCUGCUCACCACGCUCGCGGACUCGCUCCUGGGGCGCCGGAAGAUGCUGCUCACGUCCCUCGUGUCCAUGUCCGUCGCCGGCGUGCUCACCGCGUUCGCGCCGAACGUGUGGGCGUACGCCGCGCUGCGGUUCGUGUCCGGGUUCGGCCGGUCCAUGGUGGGCACGUGCACGCUGGUCCUGUCCACGGAGCUCGUCGGCAAGCGGUGGCGCGACACGGUGAGCGUGGCCGGCUUCUUCUUCUUCACCGUCGGGUUCCUGUCGCUCCCGGCGCUCGGCUUCGCGUUCCGGGAGGCGUCGUGGCGGAACAUGUACCUGUGGACGUCCGUGCCGUCGCUCUGCUACUCCGUCCUGCUCUACUUCCUCGCCCAGGAGUCGCCGCGGUGGCUGCUGGUGCGCGGGCGUAAGCAGGACGCCAUGGACACGCUGCAGCAGAUCGCGUCGCUCAAUGGCAACAGCAUCACGUCCAGCUUCUCCAUGCUGCACGCGUGCACCAUGCGCGCGGACGGCGGGGACGCCGGCGGCGGCGCCGGUGGCGCGUUCGCCACGAUGCGGGCGUUCUGGGAGCGGCCGUGGGCGCUCCGGAGGCUGGCGGCGAUCAUGACGACCAGCUUCGGCGUCGGCAUGGUCUACUACGGCAUGCCGCUCAACGUCGGCAGCCUGGGAACCAACCUGUACCUGAGCGUCACGUACAACGCGAUGGCCGAGCUGCCGUCGGCCGUCCUGUCGCUGGCAUUCAUCGGCAAGGUCAACCGGCGGACCACGGUGAUCGCGCUCACCGCGGCGGCGGGCGCCUUCAGCCUCAUGUGCGUCGCCAUCCCGGAGGGCUCGGCGGCGCGGAUGGCGUCCGAGCUGCUCUCCUUCUUCGCGACCAUCACGGCGUUCAACCUCAUCCUGAUCUACUCCAUCGAGCUGUUCCCGACGUCCGUGCGCAACUCGGCGGUGGGGCUGGUGCGGCAGGCGCUGGUGCUCGGCGGCGUGGCGGCGCCCGUGCUCGUGGCGCUCGGCCGGGAGCGGAGCUUCUAUUCCUUCGGCGUGUUCGGGCUCUGCAUCGGGUGCUUCGGGCUCUUCGCCGCCUGCCUACCGGAGACGAAGGGCCGGAGCAUGUCGGACACCAUGGAGGAGGAGGAGCACAAGCAGGAGGCCGCCGCAGCCACGUCUUGCACCGGCGGCGCAACCGACAUUGCCACGAAGGAUAACAGCGACGUCGUGUAGUGUGACGACGCUCGUGUUCGUUUCACGACGCGGCAAUAAUUGUUGCUCUGAUGACGAUAUUUCGGCGGCGAGGAUAGCUAGAUCUGCUCUGCAGGUCAAGCACCAAGCUGUCACCCCUGCCCCCGUCCAAUCGUGUAAAGCUUGCCGCCAAGUUGCUUGCAUAUAAAUUCUGUUUCAAAAACUCGUCAAGUCCGCAAGUUGAAGUCUUACCAAAGUAGCGCCCCGGCCCACAUCAUCCUCUCAAGCAGAUCUCGAUCGAUGCCUAUCGGUAGAGCACAUUCAAAUUCUAUCAACAAAUAUAAAGUAUUCUAUCCACACUAGGAGAACCCAAAUUAAUUCUCUAACAAAUACUCCAUUUGAAAUUACUAGUCAUUCCAACUUUUUUGGAAAGUCAAAACGUCUGAUCAAAUUCAUGCAAUAAAGUACUAAUAUUUAUGAUAUCAGAUAAGUACAAUUAAUUUUUUCAUUAAAUAUAUUCUCAUCGUAUAUAUUUAUUCGGUGACAUAAAUCUUGGUGACCCUCUCUAUAAUUUUAUUCUUUCCAAAAAAAGUUAGAAUGAUUUAUAAUUUUGAACGGAGGGAGUAUAAGGUAAGAAAUCUCAUUAAUCGUCCAGCAAACAUAUCGCUUGACUUGCAAACUUAUCGCAAAUUAAUAGUACUCCAAACCUAUCUAGCAAUCGCUUGACUUGCACCAACCAAACCUAUCUAGCAGCUUUAAUGAGGGCUACACGCGUCUUCUAUCUGGCUUAAACUUUUCAUCCGUGAACGGAGAGAGUAGAUCGACAAAGUCAAUAUAAAACUUCCACAUGAAGUUGCAGCUUUUAUAGAAACUGUAAAAUUGACAUAAUCUUUUAUAGAAACUUCCACAUGGGACCCAGGCCUUAUUUGUCCUCUACCUUAACAUUCUCUAGGAGCAGCAUGGUUUGCUUAAGGAUUAGGCACCCUACUAAAACGACUCUGCCCCUGCCAUUUCCUAGGCUUCCUUGGUUGCGGCACUUUCGUUUUUCGUUGCUCACCUUGGCACUUUUCCUUCCUGCUGCACUUAUUCGACGCCGUUGAGCCCACGCCGCUACCUAUGCCUUCUCCCUUAACUCCGACGAGUUUCUUCUCUGCGACCGUACUGUAGUCCGAUCUGUAUUCCUCAUCUUUGGAGGCUCGUUGUCACCGCCGGAUCCAUUGCUACAUUAACCCAUGCAUCUCCGACAGGUUGCUUCUUUGCCUCUCAGAGAAUUUUUUUUUGAUAAAGUCCUCUCAGAGAAUGUUAGAGGUCUCCACAACACUUGAAUGUCUUUUUAUUUAGUUUUUCCAAUUUUCUUGAAGUGCCAUGCCAAAAAAAAAUCACGAGUGACCCAGCACGUUAGGUUCGUCAUGGGACAGUAGAAAGAGAAACACGAGUGCAAAAGGGUAGUAGACUUCAAGAUCUAGAGGCUCCCCUCAGGGCCGGGAGAGAUAAUAGGCUCCCCCCAGGGCCGGGAGACAGCAAAAGGGUGUGAAUCAAUGCAAGUUUGUCCAUCCUACGCGGCUUCGCUAGAUGGGUACGAUCGGAUGAGCCAAAUAAAGCCAGAACUAUUUCUCCCAUUAGGGCAUUAUAGUCAUUUUGCAUGCAUGGUUUGAAUUUAAGUAAAUCAGCAAGCUAAAUAGUAUACCCAGAUGGCGGCAGUAGUUAGGAUAUGAUAUUUAUGAACUAGGUGGCAGUUACUUAUGCAUUUCGAAAUGAACGACGACUUUCAAGCAGGCCCUGGAUCAAUUCAGACUUGGUUUUGUAUUCAAAUUAUUUGAACUUUUUUUUCCUUUUCUACAUAUACAGCCCCUUUUUCGUGGUUUCAUUUUGAACUAUCUUCAUGGAUUAUUAUAUUGUCACGCAGUCAAGACUUGUGGUUUGCACUUUUACCUUUUAUAUGGCCCCACCAGUUUUCCUCUUCCGAAUGAGCUUAAGAACCUCAUAUCUUUGGACCAGUGUCCACGCGGACCACAUCACGGAGAGUAAGAGACUGCUUGAGUCUGAGAGGUACACAACGGUUGAAGGGGGUGUCAUUGGUCUCUAAUGCUCUCAGCUGUCAUCUAGUAUACAUGGAGCUGUCCCCGCGUUAUUUUAUGCUGCGGCUGACUCAGUGGUGACCGGUGAUGCCAAAGAAGUCGGUCGGGAUCCCCAAUGCCAAAGGAAUCGGUCGAGAAGCACAUUUCAAUCUGUUAUGGAUCAGCACAACAGCUCGCAUGACGAUGCUGCUGGCCCAACAGUACAAUAGGAAUGCGUGAUUAGCAUUCUAGCUAGUGCUAACUAGCCUAUCAUGCUUUAGCAGGUGCCCGGAACAUGGUGCUCUGCUCAUACAUGAUGCUUGUGCCGUGUGGUGGCAUUUUGCCAAAGUUCACAAUCGCAUCCUUUCUCCUGUGUUGCCAUGGUACCAUGUGGGUGUACAGGUGCUUGUGCCAUGAGGCAUCCGUCCCUUGACUUUUUCGCAUUGCAUUCAGCGUAUUUCUUCAGGCUUGCUUGCAAAGAAAAUACCUCGUCAGGGUGGUUUAUUUUUGCGGUGACGGUGAUCAAAUAAAGUUGUGUCGUAGAGAUCGGAAAAACCAGAAACAAGUACGAAAGGACAGAGGAGUUAGAUCAUCUUUUGGGCAAGAUGUACCCAAGAGGAAGCCGUCACAAGCCUACACCGCUUGUUUGGAGGAUAGAGCAUGUGAGGUUGUGGCCGUCGCUAUGCAAGAGAGAAGAAUGAAGAAUCGCCUACGUUUGUUGUCAUCAUUAGAAUUUUCAUAGCAAAUAGCCUCGUAUAUGGAAUAUAGCACUAAAGCUUAUUAGCGUUUAUUUCACAAGAAAUGACAUUUUUCUUCAAUCUCCUUUUUUCCGGCAAUAUCUAAAAUCUUAGAUGGUAUAGCAUCGGACGACUUAUAAUACAACGGCAUGCAAACCAUGGAUACUAGUAGACUAGCUGUCUAGCUAGGCAGGAACUUUGGACUCGGUUGUACUACCGACAUAUAUGCAUGACGAGCAUCAAGGUACCACAGCAGAUCUGGGAGUACAAUCAUGCACGCAUAAUAUCUCGAUGACGUGUGAUUGUGUGAAUGAUUAAACAAACCAUGAAGUGACAAAAACUGGUAGCCGCUUUUUGGGUCAGGGAUGACACAGCCUUCCAGAUCGACUGGGACCCUCCGCUGCCCUCUAUUCUGUCGCAUUGUCCGGACUGACCCUGUCUUGCGAACCCUGGCGUCGUCUGCCAUCCCAUCAAACGCACUACUGCCCUGUACAACUAUACGACCUGCACGAUCAGGUUUGGGCGUCCUGCGUCGCAACUUUUGUUCAGAAGCGUCGCUUAGCACACGGUCUCGCCGUCGCGGACGGUGCUGCCGGUCGGGCCGGGGCGCCAUUGUCAGCGGCGCGCGCACUUCGUUGCUCGGUCGAUCACGCGCCUGCAGUUUUGAUCGGUUCCAAGAGUUUUUCUUCUGAAGUCAAGAGUCGCUUUAUUCCACCACAAGUUAGCUUGAUCGCGAACUACCAAGCUAGCUAGUUACAGUGAUCAUGAGCACAAAAUUACAAGAGCAUGGAGCUCACCAAAUAUCAAACGAGGAAAAAAAAACAGGUAUAGAGCAGGUCCCAGACUUCUCUGAAGAAGAUUACUCCUGCUGGGCCUCGAUCAAGCCUGUUGGAUUUCAGUGCAUCCACCAGCGCAUUUGGGGAGGUUCCCAGAAACUCAGAGAGGGCGAUGUACAUGGGCCUGGGUUGAGUCAGCUUUCAGAUUACUCCAGUUGUGUUGCUCAUGGCUUGGGUUCCGAGCCAGGCAGCCAGCGUUCUUCGCCUCCCCGUUUGCGACGUUGUGUUCAACGGCGGCCCCCUACACGGGACCCACUUCACAGUAAAAAAAAAACUGAACUCCCAGCGACCCUCGCGCGAACAGAAGGAAAAAUUCGCACGGUGCGAGCCGCGCCACUGCCGGCCGGUGCCAUGGACGUUGCGGCGUCGACGUGGAGGGCUGCGCAAGUCCGGCGAGAGGUGAAAGGCGGAGCACAUUGGGGGAGAGCGCACCGCACCGAGCUGCGGCCGCCUCAUCGGAGCCGCCCUAAGGAUAGCCUUCCGCGCCGAGCCGUUGGAGCCGUCCUGGAUAUGACCUCCCACGCCAAGUCGCAGCUCCGCCUCGUCGGCCUUCAGGCGAGCAUCUGCCUCGACCUGUACAUCGAUCAUGUCAUGUGAUCAGCAACAGCCGAAGGUAAAUUAUCCGGAUCAUAAGAAAUUAAAAGUACAACAGCAGGAGCAUUCUUACCUCGGAACCUUCCCUUCGUAAAUUUGGAAUAAGGACAAUACCUCGCACAAGCAUCGCUUUCAGGAUUAGGAUUAUGGUAGUGAAAAAAAAAGGUGGAUGUAUUUUCUUUAACCAAUCGUUACUGUCUUAUCAAACGUCAUUUUCAAAUUGUUUGCACUGUUGUGUUCCUUAUAAUGAGAUAUACGAAAUAAGAUCCACAUUCUGUAUAACAACUCAUGUAUGAAACUAUACACACUAAGAGAUAAUUUUUAUAGAUACAUUGUAAUAGCUUAUGUGUAAGCAAUGUAUCAAGCUUAUAUAGAGAUUAUUAUAUAGCAACUUAUAUUAUUUCUACUUGUCGAGUAAUAAAUUUAUGUACAGAUAAAUGUACAAAGGACUAUAACAACUUGUUUGCAAGCAAUAUAGCACCUUAUGCAGUAUGUAUGGUAUUAACUUAUAUAAUGACGAUGUGGCAACUUACAUAGACUCUUCAGAUAACUAAGCAACAUGAGUGUAAAAUCUGUUUUUAGCAAUUUAUGUACAUAAUUUGUUAAGAGGUUUACACAUAAGUCGCUAUAUACUUAUCCAUAGGUAAAUAAUAUACAUUCGAUAUAAAUUACAAGUACAUAAAAAAUACUCCAAAACAUAUGCAUCAUGAGUCUUAUUUUGUAAAUUUUACUAUAAGAAAUGUACCGUGAAGACGGAAUUGAAAAUAGUCACUCUAUUAAAGAGUUAUCGCAAGAGACGAAACAAAAAUAAAAACGGAUGGGCUAUAGCAGGCCACCUCCAUCUUGCCAGAUCACAAUAGGCCGUAUAUGUCAUGAGCUUAGGUGCUGGUGCGACCCCGCACGCAAUAGUUAUUUACAAAGCUGAAUGCUCGAGAAGACAUGUGCUUCUAUGAUAGAGCAAGUCGUUCCACGUCAAAUGACGACGACGACCCAAGACAUGGCCUUGGUCCAACUCCGCAAGUUUUAUGGCCCCAGCCCACCAGACAAGCCACUUCAGUUGUCUUGCUCAGAUUUUAGAACGGCAGCUGCUUGGCGCGUGGCCCGACGCAGGAAGUUAUCUCUCGCUGCCUCGACCCUCUCGCGAGCAAGAAUUAAGAAUCGGUGUGGGCAAGAAACACACCCAAUUCUUGAUUCAAUGCUCUCUCCCUCUUCCUCCAGCGCGGGGUAAAUUUCCAGAUGGUUCGUGCGGCUGCAUAGCUGCAUAUGGUGCGGGAUAUACUGAAAGUGCAUUUGGCCCCCCUAAGUGGGUUUUGAUGUUGACGACAUGCAUAGUUAAGGGAGUAAUGAUUUUAUCAAGUAAUUCACAGGUUUAAAUCCUAAGAAGUGCAGAGGUGUAAGAAAAGAACCCCAAUUUGAUUGAAGAACGGUGUUGGAGCAUAAAACAAGACCUUUUUAUACUUUCUAUUUUUGAAAUUGAGUAUAGGAAUACCGUACUAUAAAGGGGGACACGGAUGGAUAGCUUGAAGAUGUCAAAGUGCUUGUUUGAGAUGCUAACCACCCAUGAGACACACCACUCACACACUUGCACAUUUAAUUUCUCAUAGUUUCUGUGAGUGUCGGAAGUUCUGACAUGGGAUCGGAAGAAAACUUCCGACAGGGGGUGCUCAGCGGAUUUAAUUUAACAGAGUCAGAAGUUCUGACCUUGUGUUGGAAGUUCUGAUAAAAGGCACCAGAAUUUUCCAGUAACUUCAGGCAAGGUUCCCAACCGUUUUCUUUGCACUGUGUCAGAAAUUCCAACGCAGUGUCGGAAGUUCCGACAAUGAAUUAACAGCAGUGCAACAGCUAGUUUUUGGGGCUCGGGUAUUUAUACCCCCUCAGCCCCCAUUCAUUUGCUGCUAACCUAACCUGAGACAAACACCCUCUUGAGCAUUCAAUACUCGUCCCCACUCCCUCCUUGAGCUAAAUCUUUAAGAGUUUUGAGCUAGGACUUGGUUGAGAGAAGGAUUGGAGGUGUGAGACUUGAGGCUUUGAGUGUGAGGUUCUACAAGUUCAUCUUAAGAGCACUUAAAGUAUCUUCGGUCUAUGAUUCAUGUUUGUUACUCUUGAAGCUUGCUUCUAGAUGGUUUGGCAUCACCCGUUUGAGCGCUCUCUUUGUGUGGUGCACCCGGGAAGUUUGUAUCACCCAUCCUCUUUCUGACGAUUCAUAGUAAGUGACUCAAUCAUCAUUUGUGGUUGAUUGAGAGAGGUAAAGGGUUAUUGAGGACCCGGCUCUUUGUGAGCUCCUCAACGGAGACGUAGCUUCCUUUGUGGAAGUGAACUUCAGUAAACAAAUCCUUUAUCUCGUGUGCUUGUUGUGUUCCUCUAGUUCUUAUUAACCUAGAAGCUUCUUUUGUGCCGAUCUAUAUAUUUGUGAAGUUCCUCUUAUAUAUAUCACCUGCAGUAGUCUCUAUUCAUCACUUCUAAUCUUUUGAUUCAAAUAGAAUUGGCAGAUUCAAGUUUUAUUUUGAGUUUCGUUCAGCUCAUUUCCUGUCGUCGGAAGUUCCGCCCCUGUACCGAAAAUUCCGACCCUAUCGGAAGUUUCGGCACAGUGUCGGAAGUUUCGACGUAUCUAAUACCGCUGCGAAGUUUUUUUUUGAAAAAUUUUAAAUUGAGCCUAUUCACCCCCUCUAGGCAUCAUAAGAUCCUUAAAUAUACCACUCCACUGGGACAACAAAACCACCAUCUCCUUGAGGGUCUGCCACCACAUCAUUUCUAACAUCGUUCGGAGGGUCCAUGCUGUCAAGGGUGCCAACGACGAGGCCAGACUCAUCCUUCGUGGUGCCUACAGUAACUAGUGGUGGAUAUAGGAUUUAGAAAUAGGUGUAUAUAAUAUCAUAUUUUCUUUCUAUAUACAUAUAUUAUUUCUAAUCAAACUUAUACAAUUUUUAAAUGAAAAUAAAGUUUUUUUUAACUAUUCAUCAAUAAACUAAUAGCCCUAAAAACAAAAAAGCAUGUAGUCUCGAUCUACUUUUCAAGUUGUGAGAGGUCAUGGGCUCACUCCCAGACUUCAGCAAUGAAGAAUUCAAUAAUCAAUUAGCUUAUGUAAUAUAUAAUCGGUCACAUUGUAGUUUUUCUUGUAAAAUAGCAAAAUUUACUAAGGUCAUUGUAUAAUCAUAACUAAAAUAUUCACACUACCACUUUUAUAUAGGAAUAAAAAUAUCUUAUAUAUAUUAAAUCUUUUAUCUAGAUAUAUCAUUAAAAGCAAAAAAAAAUAUCGAUUUGAUUCAAAUAACGUUCUAGAAAUUUUUUCUUGGCAGCGUAAAGAUUUUUAAAGGUGUCCAUUGGCAUGCUAUGUUACCUUUGCAUAAUCACAAAAUGGUAGAAUGCACAACUAAUUUCACUUGUUCUCCUCUUUGUUAUGCUUUUUGUCAGUCAUGAUAUUUACAUCUUAUUCUAUAGAAUAUAAGCUACUUAAGUUUCAACAAGAUGUAUGAUUAAGACAAUUAUGUUUCCGCAAGUGUUUCUGAAUGCCCUCACUUAAUAUAUAUGAAUAUAGAAAUAUUAAUAUAUAUGAAUUUAGAGAAUUAAAAUUUCACAUCAAAAAGAGAUCUAGAAAUUGCAUGUAUAAGGAUGUUGAAUCAUAAUCCAAGCGGAAUGAGUCGAAAAGAAAGAGAAAGAACCGACAAACGCAAAAAAAAAGAUUUAGUUGGAGUGAUUGGGGUGCUUGUUGUUCCUUCCCUCACUAAUCCAACGCUAAACAUAGUACUAUAUCGGCAAAGUUAAGUGUUAAUGGGACAAUUUAUCAUGUUUUCGGUUAAAUUAUUCAUAACUUAGCACAAUUACGAGUAUAUAAACCUAUAUGUUUAUAUAUACUAGCCAAAAAAUUGUAUAAAAAAUAUUGGGUGUAUUUGUACACUCGUGCAUGCACCUAUAGCCCUUGACCGCAGCUACCCGUCGCCUCUGACCUCCCUCGGGCGUCGUCAUCACUGAGUAGCGUGCCAUCCCGACAAGUCGCCGCCACCGCUCCGCUUGCUCUAGGAGAUCGCCACGUAGGAAGGAGACUUCGUCAUCUGAAACAUGUUGGGAGAAAAAUGAUUUCUCUAUUCUACCAGCAAGUACCUUCGUUGGCGAAAGGACAUCACCGUCGACUCGACACAAGGAGUUCGAUGCUACGGUGGUCCGUGGAGGUCCUGCUCGAGCCAGAGUGGUUGACAAAUUUCGAUUUCCAGGUAACCACAAGGCAUCCGACGCUAACAAUUCUAGUUAGAAUUCUUAGUUUUUGGACUCAAUUUAUUCCUCACAAUGCAUUUUCUUUGAUCUUUUCACAGAGUUUAGUUUGAGAAUCACAUAAUGUUCCAAGUGGUCUUUGAUUUUCAACUUACUGAAUAUGUUCAUCCUAAAAGUCCCUUUCACUUUGGAUUUUUACAUCACAAGAAAACUCAAACGAAGCAUCAAUAAAGGCAUUGAAAAUAGAGAUUUGAUCAGAAAAUGUCAAGAAAAAGCACUUCAAGCUGAAGAAAAAGGGCGUAGAAACUCUCAACAACAAAGGAUUAAUGAGGUGUUAAGAAAUCUUACUCUUGAGUUGUAUCGAAUCAAAAUGGAUAUUGAGAUUUCGACCAAAGCUAAUCAUGCCUAUGACACAAUAAUAGCACAAACUAAUGCUCGAAUCAAUGAGCAGGUGUGUCAAGAGAUGGUAGAGGGGAAGCCGCGAAGGUCAUAUGAGCUCUUUCUGUAUCUCUCUGAGGACAAUGUUACUUUGACCAAAUGUAAGGUGUUCACAUGUUUUGCUGACAUGGUUGCAACUUUAUGUCGCUUGAACCCAUUGUAUGUGAGAUAGUAGUGAAAGUUUGAAUUGUCCUUCAUAUGAGAACUCUUGUUUAGAGGCCUCGUUCUAUAAUUUUUUUAUGUCUUUUGUUAUUAAAUUACCCAACUUUUUUCUUAUCGGGUUCGCUUCUAUAAUUUUUUUGUGUCUUUUGUUAUUAAUUUACCCAACUUUUUGCUUAUCAGGUUCGCGUUGCAAUGUCCGUAGUUGCACGAGCUAGAGAUAUGCUGUGCAUUUAGGCCAUCAGAGUAUCUCUGCAAGAGUCCUUCGUAGUUCUUUGAAGCAAUCACUAGCCCAAUCAAAGAAAGACACACGAGAUCCAAGAAAAACAAAAGGCCCCAUGGAACCUGUGAAGAUCAGAAUCCCUGGCCCACCCAAAUGUCCACUCUGAAAACUUCAAAUCUAACCCUAAAAGAAAUGAGCGGUUGGCUGAUAUGUGUUGUCUUCCCAUGUCUCCGCGACUAGCAAACUGUUGAUGAUAGGGGUGAUAAUAGGUCAUGACCCUUGUGUCGCCUUCACAAUCCAACAAAAUUCUAAAUAAUAUUAGUCAAAAACAGAUAGUAUUCUAGCCCGGUUCUUGUUGAGCCUGAACUUUAAAAUUAUUAGGCUAAAUUAUUAGGUCCUUUGCCACUCCUGCUUGUCGACGAUGUUAGCCUCCUGCAGGUUGGUGAAAAGUGACGACCUUAAGUGGGCAGAGUGGCGUGUCCAGCAUCUUUAAUAUGACCGUCCCUGAGCCAUGCCUUGACAUACUUGAGGUAGGCGCAGCAUGCCUCCUUUUUUUAUCUUUAUUGCUAUUGUUUAUCAGAGUGUUUUCUUCCUCCACGUUGAACCUCAUGAAACGCUCUAGGAAAAUUUAGAAAUUCUAGAAAUUCAAAAAUGAUUGCUAUUUUCUAAACUCAUUGUUGAUAAAAAUGGCCUUUGUGAUCCAAUUUUGCUUCUAAAUUACCCAUAUAUACUAUUAGGAAAACAACAUAAACUAACCCCUUUUCUAUUAAAAUUGCUACCCAUACCAUUGUGAAAAAAAUAACCUAAAGCAUCCCUAAAUGUAAUUCUAAUUACCCUUAUUUGAAAAAUAACCACUAAAUCCACAUCUAAAUUACUAACCCCUACAGUUAUAAAGAGAAAAUAACUUUUGCAAUGCAAAAGGGAAAAACUAUGAAUACGACUGAAAAAACAUUGCAAAGGGAAAAACUAUGAAUACGAUGGAAUUAUGUUAACCAAAGUGAUCACUCUAUGGCAAGUAUUGUGUGAAAAAUAAAUAAAAAGGACAGUAGAUAAAUAUUUUGAUUAGUUGUGUGCUACAAGUUUUUCAUGUACUUCUAAUACCUUGUCUCUUCAACCUGCAAGCACGUAGGAGCACAGAAUCCAUGAAGUACAACAUUCAGUACUGAUUGCAAAACAUCUGUUUCGGACAGGCCAAUCCAAGAAGUAAAGCUAGCUGAUUGCUGUAUUUUACAAGACUAAUCAGUGAAUUUCUCCCCUAGCCCUCGGACCCGUGAUUGCUAAGCAGUAAGCACCAUGUUACUGCCGUGGCGAUCUCUUCCAAGAAAUCGAUCAACCGUCCAUGGACAGGAACUUGCGCAGGAACGGGCUCAUCAUCUCAACCGUGACAACGCCGUCGUGUUCCUCCUCGGCCACCGGCGCGACCUUGCCGCGGGGUCUGCGGAACGCAUCUUUUACCCUCUCCCACCACGACCGGUGCAGGAAGAUCUCGGGGAGCAGCCGCUCGAGCUCCUCCCAGGCCCGCUUCUCGUCGGCGAUCAACUCGCGGAGCUCCUCCACGCUGCGGGCUAUCUCCGCGAGGCCCUCGUCGAUCCUCGCCAGCCCGGCCGCGACCUCGGCUUCCAAGCUCGCCCUCAGCUCCUCGUCGUCCACGGCGAGCGCGCGGCGGCCGCCGCCGAAGAAGCUGGGCAGCCCCGCCCUCAUCUUCAGCUUCAUGGUAGCUUGGUGGUAGUACGUGCGGUCUCUGUUGGCCAGACAAUGGCCGCUGCGGCGUGCUCCCAGAGUCCUGGUUGCAGAGGCGAACUGGCUGGCUGUUCGGCUUUUAUGGAUCGGAUCUUGGAUCGUUGGAUGUGCGCUACUACUACUACUACUACUAGGAAGACAGGCGUGUUAAUCCCGGUGAUCCGGGACGGGUGCAUUUGCCCUUGCACUCCGAGGAUCGGAGUCGCCGCCAGGGAGAUUUUCGAUCGGAGACCCGCGCGUGCGACGCGCCGACGCCCAACCGCUCCGUCGUACGUGUCAAUGUGUCAAGUGCCCCCGAGCUAGUCGGUGUCUCGGAUGGGCGUCUGGAGACCAACUCAAAUGCCUCCACUCACUUACCCGGACAAUCUUCCUACUGGAAUGGCGACAACAGCCAACAGGUCCACCACCUCUCGGACGAUCAAACUGAUGUCAUGCAGGGAAGAAAACUGGAGGAGAUCGCAGCAAGCUCACAGUUAUGUUGGGAAUGAACACACGGGCUUCCAGAACUGUUGAGCAGCCCGGGCCAAACCAGUGGCACCCAACACUGUUGGAGUGUGGAGGGAUUCCUACCUAGCUUCCGAUAGUUUUUUAGUUAGUCAUGUCUAGUGUUUGAGAUCAUGCGACAAGUCUUGUCUAUAGGAUCUCAACCCUAGUCUCCACCGCCACUUGUGUGCCGCAGCUCGCCGUCCCACGCGCGGCCACCGACGCGAGGUCCCCGGCGCUGCCGCGCGCCUAUCGCUUAGGGGUCUGCACGGCCACCGCCCGCGGCCUGGCACGCUGCUGCCGCGCGUCGCGAGGCCCACGCCCCUGAGCUGCGUGUGCCGUCGCCGGGGAAGAACCAAAAAAUUAUAAAAAAUGUUUGAUGUUGGUUUGUAUAAAUGUUGAAACACAGUAUUUAAAAUGUUGAAUAUAGUAUUUCUUUUGCAAAAUGUUGAACUAUAUUUGAAAAAAAUGUUGAAUCUAUUAUUUGUAAAUGUUGGUUUAAUUUUCAGAAAUUGUUGAAUUUGGGGUAUUGAAAUAUUGAUUUAGAUUUCUAUUUGGGCUUAAUGGGCAGCUACGAAAGUUAACUAGCUUCCAUAAGUUUCCAUAAGUGAUAUAGGAGAUUAGGAGCUCCCGGAGUGUGGACCCCAAUGGCGCAGCAGGAUAGGAGGACAAAAUCCUUAGGCGGUGUUUGGAUCCCUGGGCUAAACUUUAGUCCCUGUCACAUCGAAUGUUUAGAUACUAAUUAGGAGUAUUAAAUAUAGAUUAUUUACAAAAUUCAUUGCACAGAUGGAGGUUAAACGGCUAGACGAAUUUAUUAAGUCUAAUUAAUCCAUGAUUUGAUAACGUGCUGCUACAGUAACCAUUUGCUAAUGAUGAAUUAAUUAGGUUUAAUAGAUUCGUCUUCGCCGUUUAGCUUCCAUUUUUGUAAUUAAUUUUAUAAUUAAUCUACAUUUAGUCCUCCUAAUUAAUCUCAAAAUAUUCGAUAUGACACGAGUUAAACUUUAACUUUAUCUGCAGUAUUCAAUCACCCCCUUGGACGACGUGCACGCGCUGCUACCAGGUAGCAGCGAAUAUCGUCCUUGUCAUGGGAGAUUGCCGGAGUCGGGCUGCCGUUCGGGCUAGGGGUUACAGUUGGGAGGUUGCUGGGUGGAUCCAUAGCCGGCGACCUGAGAAGGAGGGCCUGGGACUGCGGCGGCCGGCGGUGGUGGCGGGUUGCCGGACGGCGAGGCCGAACGACGAGGGCGCCGCCAGCCAAGGCGGGGUAGGACGACCGGUGGCCUGUGCUGGUGGUGGGGACAAGGACGCCGGAGUGAUUCAAAAAGGUCGGGUGGAGGAGGCGCGGGCGGUUGGUGGGUGGCAAGGUCGCCGCCGGCCGUGGGAGGUGGCACGUGGCAGUGGUCGGCGGGAGCGCGGCGGACGGCCGCGGCGCCGGUGGCAGCGCCGUGGGGCGGCGGUCGCGGCAGCAUGAGACCGAGCUCGCCGAUGGGUGGAAAGACCGAGCUCGCUGAUAGGUGGAAGAAAAGGGAGGAAAAGAAAGAGAAAGGAAAGGAGGACUAGAAAAGAAAGAUGAACAGUACCUGGAGGCUUUCGUUCGCUACGAACGGAUAGCGACGAACUAUGGCCAGCUAGUGGCCCCGAUAGGCGACAGGAGGAGGGGGAGCCACGAGCCAUCCGAGCUGGCACCGGCGCACCUCCAGAAUCCAGCCCCGCGCGCCGAUUGGCCGGAGCCAAAUCCAGAAAUCUCCACCUCACAUCCGCCGCUCCAAUCGCCUUCCCCCUCCAUCUCGCGUCUCCCCGGCAACAAAAACACUUUGUGCUACAAAUACGUCCACGCAACCCCUCUCCUAGCCUUGACACCCCCGCAGUGCAGUGCCGCCGCAGCAGAGCAGCAAGCUACGAGGGAUGGCAUCGAUCAUGGCCGCCGCCACCUCCCGCGUCCUCGCCGCCAAGACGCUGUUCCUCGGCCAGGGCCGCGCCGCCGCCAAUGCCAGCCCCCUCCGCGACGUCGCCGCAGCCGCCAGCGGCCGGAUCACCAUGGUACGUACCCCUUUGGUGCCAAAACCACCCGCCUACAGCAUCAGUCCAGCUUGCUUAGGUGCUGACGAACAAGUCCUUGUUGUUUGCAGAGCAACGACCUGUGGUACGGCCCGGACCGCGUCAAGUACCUGGGCCCCUUCUCCGCGCAGACUCCCUCCUACCUCACCGGCGAGUUCCCCGGCGACUACGGCUGGGACACGGCGGGGCUCUCCGCCGACCCGGAGGCGUUCGCCCGCAACAGGGCGCUGGAGGUGAUCCACGGGCGGUGGGCGAUGCUGGGCGCGCUGGGCUGCAUCACGCCCGAGGUGCUCGAGAAGUGGGUGCGCGUGGACUUCAAGGAGCCCGUGUGGUUCAAGGCCGGCGCGCAGAUCUUCUCCGAGGGCGGGCUGGACUACCUGGGCAACCCCAACCUGGUGCACGCGCAGAGCAUCCUCGCCGUGCUGGGCUUCCAGGUCAUCCUCAUGGGCCUCGUCGAGGGCUUCCGCAUCAACGGCCUCGACGGCGUCGGCGAGGGCAACAACCUCUACCCGGGCGGCCAGUACUUCGACCCGCUCGGCCUCGCCGACGACCCCGUCACCUUCGCCGAGCUCAAGGUCAAGGAGAUCAAGAACGGACGCCUCGCCAUGUUCUCCAUGUUCGGAUUCUUCGUGCAGGCCAUCGUCACCGGCAAGGGGCCCCUCGAGAACCUGCUCGACCACCUCGACGACCCCGUCGCAAACAACGCCUGGGUCUACGCCACCAAGUUCGCGCCCGGGUCUUAAGAAGCUAGACGGCUGCUUCGUGCCUGCCACCAUUGUAGACUACUCGUUACUUUUGUACCACCAAUUAAUGCAAAUACCUUGUUCUCAGGAUUCAGGAAUGUGCAUUAUGCUCUCUGUCAGUUGUGGCUUGUGUGCUCCUGAAACAGAUGAUGUGCUGAACUGCUGAUUUACGAUCUAUACAUGUAGCUGCCUCUUUGCAUUUCAGUUCAUGUUUUGAGGUUUUGACAUACACAAGCUUCUCAGAAACCGUGUAGAAUUCAGAGCACUGCUAAUCAGAUAGACACAUAUCCAAACUCAGGAUUCAAGUGUGGAGUGAUGAAGAACUGAAAUGGCAGUGCAGAAUGUCACGCAAUGGAAGCAAAGUUUUCAGAAAAGACGCCUGGCAGCAUCAGUUAGUUAUUCAUAAGCUUUUGAAACGAACCGAGCAGGAGUCGAUUAUAUUGAUAAAGAAGAAGGUCCGGACUGGCAAACAACAACCCCAAAAGGAGUUAACAACGACAAACAUUAACUACAACGACCACUAGGACCACUCCAUCAAACAACUACAACGACCAAUUGCGACACCUCCACUAACAAUUACACUCACAGCGAAAGCAACAGCAACACGGCUUUUCAUAGUCUGGUACCACAGCAGAGCAUAAACUUUCAGAGUAAGCAGGCACCAAAGGGAAGAAGAACAGAGUAAAUGCGUUACACAUUUGAACAUUUUCUUACUGUACACAUCUUACAGUGCUGGUGUCGCAUCUCUAUUUGCUCAUGGUGGAUAAUCUGUACUAAUUACCCUUCCAUAUCUCUGGUUUAUCACUCUACAUACACGAUGACAUACAUACACGGGCAACUGAGGAGUGAGGACUAAUAUACAUGUACAGAACUCUUGCUUCACCUACAGAUGCUGUAUGAUCCCUACAGAUGCUGUAUGAUCCCUUUGACACUCGCAAAACCGGAUGAGUAACAGCACCGCCACCGACGAUGGAGCUCAUCAUCAUCUCAGCAGGAUUGAGAUGAAGAGAAGAACCAGGAGUAUUUCUUCUCGCCUGCCCUGUCGUUCUAGGUCACUCUCCUUGACCCAAUGGCAGCAAAAUGUGGGGUACAGUCUGGGAUUAUCUUGCACGUUCACUUUGAGCUCUUCUUUCCCCACCAUCUUUUCCGGGAUUUCUCAUCAUGAGUGCUAACCUUCUGAAGAUUUACCUUCGUCUCCUUCAACCGAGAUUUGUAAUCUUUCUUCCAUGUAGCAAAACGGUCCUUGAGCUUCCGGAGUUCCUCAUCUGGAUUCAUAUUUGAACCAACCUGACCGGACUUGACUGCAACAAGGAAGCCUGCGUCAUCUUCGAACACCUGCCGCCUGUCUUCGAACUCCUUUGCUAGGUGGUUUACAGCAUUUACUCGCCUAUCUGAGUUUCCUGCUGAAACUUUAGCUUCAGUAUGGUGGUUGUGGUGUCUCGACUCUAUCACUUCAGGUGUGUGGGUCCCAGUGGACAAUGUAUCUUCAGAGUCAUACUGAGCAUGUGCCGGAGUGAAAUCAGUCCGAGCAGCUCGUGCGGCCACAUCAUCAGAAGCUAGGCUCUUUUUAGCAGCAACAAGGUUCAGCUGAAAGGAAUAGAUACAAUCACAUCCAAAGGAUCAAUUCUGAAGGAUAAUGCAAAAUAACACUAAACUAUUCGGGCACCUGCACUAGCUAGGCACUGUAAAAUUCAAUAUCUGAGCAAUUGUUCUUUAAUUCGUUUAACACAUCAUUGGAAAAAAUCUUUAAUAUUUUUCCUCAGUAGUCCCAUCAGAAGGUAUCUUGCAGUACUGUCAUCCUUCAACAGAUGAAUUCAUGUUGCAAAAAAAUGUUGCUCCAAUUCCCUUAAACUACAAGCAAACAGGAAAAAGAUCCACAUAGAUAACUACCUGCAGUGAAGAGAGCUGUCUCUUCCACGCCUCUUCCAUAGAUUUCAUUUUAGCCUCAUACUCUGACCAUUUCCUCUCAUACUGUUCCAAUUGUUGUUUCAGCAUUACAUUUUCUUCCUCUUUGUCCCGCAAUGCAGCCUCAGUUUUUGAAAUACGACCCUCAAGUUCUUUGAUGACUGGCUGCUGUGGAUAAUGUCCAUUCAUUUCCUGCCAUUUAAUAUCAAUAUUAGGAACUACUAUGCCAUUUACACCUAUGCAUUAGACACUUGAACCAAUUCUAUGUUCGGGAAAAAACUUCUCAAGUUUUUAAAAAUACAAUUGGAUAUCACAAUAACAGAAAUUUCAGAAGCUCUGUGCUGCUAACUAAGCAACAUAGUAAACAACCAUGCUCAUGCAAACUCAAGAUGAGGAUUGUCUAAUAUGAGUAGCAAAUCUUUCAGAUUAUGUAUUGCUCAUUCAGUACUGGAUAAGAUCAACAUGCAGCGCAUUAGGAGAUUGGAACCGAUAAUAUUGUGAUAUCCUUUGACAUAGAACUCACAUGACACGUCCUUGACUCUGAAACAUUCUUCCUCAUGUCCCCUUGAACUUUGUUGCGACUGGCCUUUGACUCCCUUUCAUUCUGCAAGCACUUGUAUUUCCUCCUGGCUAGGCACCCACGCAUCACUGCAGAAACAUAAGAAAAAAUUGAUGAGAUAGAUACACUAAUCUGGGGCAAUAUAAUGAUAAUGGACCCUCUUUUAUCGCAUGGAUUACCUGACUGAAGAAGAACGAUAUGUUUCAGUUGAUCAUUAAACAUGGUAGCGGCGAGUCGACGCCUAGUGUACUUCUGUAUGAGAACAGCUGCCCUCCAUCUAUUGACAAGAUUAUCAAAGUGUAUUCUUGCUCUUUCACCACGUAUAACUGCAGUUUGGCAAGUCAAGAGAGUUCGACAAAAGAACCAGCAUUUGUCAGCUGAUAACUAAGACAGAAAGACUACAUUAAAUUUCAAAAUCUCCACAUGAUGGUCAAAACGGUAGAAUUUAGGAAUACUUUGAAUGAAAAAAAUGCAUAUAAAGUGUAUUACAUGACUGCAAAGUCACUGCUCCUUUCUUUAGUCCCUGAUAACCUUGUCGAGAAUGCAACCCACGGAAGUGUUUCUGAAUACAAAGGGUUCCAUGGAGCAUCUGUUUUUUAGCAUUUUCCAGUGCAGCAACCUACAGAACAAUCAAGAAUAGCAAACCACAUCCAUGAAUAAGAGUAGUUGUAAUCACAAUGUCAAGUUCACCAAAAUAUAAGGCUUUAAGUUAAUUUCACUAAACUACAACUAUUCACACCUAACUAUCAUGAAACUACAAUUUUUAGGAUCAAUUUCACAGAACUGCAACUACUUGCGCCAUGCCGCAAUCACUUUCACAUACCUAUAACAUUUUAUUCGGGCCCACACACGUGUGAACCCACGUGUGGGUAUCGUGUGGCUCCAUACAAAAUGUUGUUGGUUUGUGAAACUAAGGGCACAAGUAAUCGUAGGUCUGUGAAAAUGAUCUAAAAAUUGUAGUUCCUUGAUAGUUAGACACGAGUAGUUGCAGUUUUAUGAAAUUAACUCACAAGUAUUUGUAAGUAAAGUUGACCAGAUUAUAAAGCUUUUGCAGGCUACUUGAGGGUCUAGUCUAGAAUAAAGAAAGGCUAGAAAAAUCAUUGUAUUGUACCUGUCCUGUACGGAAAAACAAUUUUGUGUAGCCAACUUGAUACAUUUCAGGGGGAAUGUUCAAUUGCUGCAAAACAGCAACUGAAACACUAAGUGGAUCUUGAGAUGCAAUAGAACGCAGGAGAAGAAAUCCAUAUCUGCAUAUUGUAUAACAGGAUGUGUAAGUCAAGUGGCACACAACAUCGAACAAAAGAAACAGGUCUAUUUGUUAAGUUAGAUUGUAUCAAACAGUAACCUUUCAGCAAAUUGCUGGUGAGUCAUCCUAGUUGGAUAACCCGUUCUUGAUAUUCGAACGACUUCAAGCACUCCACAGCAUUUAAGCUGAUGCAAGACAAGAUCAUGCUCGAAUAACUUGGGGCGUUGUUUGCCAUUUGGCUGAAUGCAACGGAUAAAAUGAGGAGUUGUGCUUUCCAACUGCUGCAUCAGCUUGAACAGUUGAACCUGAAUACACAACAGAUAAUCAUGGCUAAAUGGAAUGCAACUUUACAGAAACAACAAGAAGAACCUAAGUUGAGGAGUUAUGAACAAAGAACUAAAAGCACUACAAAAUUAUACAGCUAAAAUAUAUCUGGAGAUAUUUUCUACAAUAAUAUCUGAUAGCAUGAAACAGUAAAUGAUUAGAAUCAGUACCUUAAAUUUGGUGGCAACACUUUGUUUCUGUGUAUCGACUACUGAAUGCCAUGAAACACUUGAUUUAUUCUGAGAAUCAGCAACCAUGACAGAGGCAAAAUGUUUUGGAAGUUCACAUGUACAUGAUGAGAGUAGUUGGAUUGACUCAGAGUGCAAUGGAUCUCUGUUCUUCUCCAAGAACCCAGCUGUAUCAUAUGCCACCUGGAAUAACAAUCAGGACAGUUAUCGAGAUGCGUAUAUAGAACUUCAACAGCAAAUGAGUUAAACUGAUAACUGAAGGAGCAAACUUGCAGAGCUAAACAAUGUUGGAGACGAUAAAUAACUAACAUAUAUAUAUCAACGUGCGGAUUUACCAACCUCUCCCGCAUAGUGACAAAUCUUAAAAGCGCCUUCUUGUUCACCUUUGAAGCAAGAGUUACCACUUAACUGCUGCUUAAGCUUGUUAGCAAAGGAAAGGUCUGUUGCCUUUGGGAAAGUAGACUCUUCAUCCAAUAAUGACAAUAACCCAAGAGGUUUCUGCAAAGCAACAAAAAGGUGAUGUAUAAAUAAGAUAGUACAUAUACAAAUCUUAAUAGUUAACUAGUAAAGCUUACAGUCAUAAUAUGGUAAGAUCGCAAUUUUCUUAAGACUUCCACUUAAAUAUUAAUGAUUACAGCUUCUGUUUCCCUCAUUUUAUAUAGGGAGACGCUCAUUUCCGCUGUAAUAGCUCAAAAAUCAGGCAUUUUAGUAACUUGGACAUCGUUGAAAAGGCAAAGUGCAACAGAUAAAAAAGUUUAUCAAUUGCAAUAAACUCAAUGUAUUGGAACUAGAAAGCUAAUUUGAGCAAAACCAAACAGCCAAAGAACCAAAAUGCAGACAUUGUUUCUUCAGCGUGCGUCAGGUAAGCAAUCACAAAAUAUAUGCAUAUCAAUGUCAGGCUCGAAAGUUUGUUUAAAUCACAAUAGAGACAGUAAGGGGGUGUUUGGAUGCGGGGUACUAAACUUUAGGAGGGGUCACAUCGGAUGUUCGGAUGCUAAUUAGGAGGACUAAACAUGAGCUAAUUAUAAAAAUAACUGCAGAACCCCUAUACUAAUUCGCGAGACGAAUCUAUUAAGCCUAAUUAAUCCAUCAUUAGCAAAUGGUUACUGUAGCACCACAUUGUCAAAUCAUGGACUAAUUAGGCUUAAUAGAUUCGUCUCGCGAAUUAGACUCCAUCUGUGUAAUUAGUUUUGUAAUUAGACUAUAUUUAAUACUCCUAAUUAGUAUCCAAACAUCCGAUGUGACGGGUACUAAAAUUUAUGGGGGUGUAUCCAAACACCCCCUAAAUAUAUGGUCCCCAUGUAAAAAGGGGCUGCACGAAACAACACUGCAUACCUUCUCAAAGAGAGACAAGCAAUCAGUGUUAUCCACAAAUUCCACAGGGGCCCAGUCAAUUCCAUCUUCCAAGUAUUCCUGGAAAGAACAAAAUCAGCAGGUGCACAUAAGUAUACUGAUACAGAGAUUAAAAUGAGUAAAGCACUAAAGCUGCAAGCAAAUGGAUACAGCAGCCAGGAACAGACACAUGAAAAUAAAAGGGAAGUAGUUCUACAAUUUCAUGAAAAGAAAGAUAAUGCAGGCUGCAUAGAUCCUACAACAAACGAGUCAUGUCCAUAGUGGACCAGACCUUUCGCAGUCAUAACCAGAGUUCUAACAGAACUGGAACUAAUAUAGAUCCCAGGCCUUGCUGGUGCAGAAAGCAGUCAUGUCAUGUGGUUUUCUAGGUCUUUGUGUUUCCUAGAAUCCAUUUUCUCCGUUGAUAAUUACUAAACGCUAACAUUUCCUCAAACUACAGUGAAAUAACACCAAAAGUUUGUUGGUUUACAUGAUAGAUUCGAAAGUUUGGUAAAUGAUCACAGUUGACAGCCAAUUGGAUUCGGAACCCUGGUAACAGGUUGCAAUAAUUUUGACAUCCACAUGAUUUCUGCCCAAGGAAGCACAGAACCAAUUGAAAGACAAAACACGAAACAAAUAAUAUUCAGAUCAGAUGGGAUCGAACCGUUCAUAUCUAACUUACAUAAGACAAAACAAGCAUCUGACAGCACAAGUAGCAAAGUUUACAGGGUAAUUUACAUCUUUAGUGCACAGCAAUGUACUAAAGUUUGCAGGGUCAUUGGUUUACAGAAAGAAGGCAUGUGGAAUAGGAUCUAUAAUUAUUCGUAUCUUUGGUGCUAACACAAAUAUUGCAAGAAAAUGUUAGAAGCUUACCUCCUGUUGUAGUUUGAAAAGAUGUCGGUUGAAGUGUUGCUGCAGCCUCUCAUUGGCGUAAUUUAUACAAAACUGCUCAAAGCCAUUCUUCUGCAACAGUUCAAAGAUGUUAUGGCUGAGGAAUUGCCAAAAAAUCAGUAUGAAGCAAAAUGAAAAUACUACAUACAUUGAAACACUCGAACCCAUAAAUAUCUAAAAUACUGAUGGAUCUCCAUGUACGUUGCCUCCCCGUUCCAAGAGAAUGGUUAAUUUGCUCAACAAUCCAGUCAAAUAAGUGUGCAUAGAUUGACUUUGCUAGUGCAUCCCUUGCAUCGAUGGCCUAGAAAAAUUUGAAUAAAAUUAUAAGGGAUCGGAUCAAUUAAUCCAUUCAGAUAACAUUUCCAGAUAAUUACAUACCUGAGUCAAUGUCAGCUUUUUAACAAUACUGUCAUUUCCAGCUCGGAUUUUACGAGUGCACAUUGCAGUCACCAGUUGAUUGGCAGUGCAGCCUAGUAGCUUUGCAGCAGUAGCCAACCCUGUGAACACAUUACACAGUAAAAGGUUAUUCAAUGACACCUACACCAACUUUUGACACAAACGAACAAGGAUAACUUCAAUUUGGUAUAUACGUGUGCAUUUUUUGGGGACAUUUUCUAGUGGGUAUACCAAAAGCAACAAUUGGAUGUAAACGAGGGGAAAUUGUACCUUCAUUUGAAACAACUUCCACAUGGUUUUCAGUAUCUGCGACAGAGAAUGAUAUAUUUCCCAGCCACAAGACAGCUGCGAGCAUAGAAAACAAUUUCAUUUGGUCUUCCUUAGACAUUUGAAGAGUAUCCAAUGCAUCCUGCACAUGAAAAAAGAAAUAGGAUGAAUAAAAAUAAGAUACUAGCAGACCUCUGGUUGGGGAAUUUGAAUUUUCCAAUAAUUAC
rnacentral:lncRNA from 1 species